rnacentral:lncRNA from 1 species
ACGCAGAGAGAUAGAGAGAGAGAGAGGCCACCUCAAAUAUCUAAAACUUCUCGUUGAUGAUAUUCAAGACAUAGUGGAAGCAGCUAGAAGAGAGCAGUAAAAGUAAUUUUCAAUUACUUAUCCAUAACUAGGACACUAAAGUAGGGCAAAUGACCCUACCAUAAUGAGCUCAAAAUCACAAUGAUGGAAAAUCUAAACAGAGUUGAAUAAGGAACAUGUAUACAAUUGGAUGCUAAGGGUUAUAUAGAUUUACUUAUUUCAGGGUCUGGUUGUAAAAUUUACAGCUUUAGAUACUUAAAAAUUUGCUAUAACCUAGGGAAUCUGAAAAUCCUUUUUGGGUUUCCUCCAGAAAUUUCACCUUUUGGCUUUUCACUAGCUCAGCCUAAGUUACGUGUCUGGGAGUUUUGAUAUCUUUUAGUUCAUUUGUAGCUUACACGGUUCAGUUCUUCCUGUCAACAGAUUUUUCUGGUUCUAGACUGCCACCAUACGCUGCUCAGUUUUCAGUAAAAUCUUUAAUUAAUAGUAGUUUAUAGUGUGCCCAAGCUUAAUAUCAUCCAAUCGCCUAUCCUUUGGAGGGCAGAAAGAACACCCAACAUAGAACUGAAGAAAUUUUCCUCCAUCAUUUUUGAUUGGCCAUGUACCUUUUACACGGUUCAAGAAAACAGCCUGCCAUAACAGGUGAAAUAUCACCAAUUACCAAAUUCCUUGAAAUAUCCAUUUUUUGCUUUCACGUGUGUGCUUUGUCUCGAGACUUUUAAUUCCGAGGUUUAUACAAAAGUCACAGAUAUUAAUGCAUUAACUAGAUGUCCAGUUAACUACACCUCCAGUUAAAAUGGACAAUUGCAAACAGGAUGGAGUAAUUAUCCUGAAACCUUGACAAAUGAAUAUUGUGGCACCAGCCUUAAAUGUCUUAAGGUAAGAAUCCAUCAGAUGUCAUGAAAACACGGCCUUUUAUCAAUGGUUGUUAAAAGGUUUAAAAAGUAUCUGAUUUAAAGCAAAUAGACUCUCCAAUGCUGAAAGCGCCCUACAUCUCAACUUCUCAUAUAACAGAAAUAAAGAAACCACACAAGCAGAAUUGUUUCAGUUGAUGCAUAUUUGAAUAUUUUUCAGUGGCAUUAUGAUGUGAUACAUGUAAGCCUAUUUUAGUGACAUGCACUUUAUCUACAGAGAGUUUAUGAGCAUUUGCUACUCAAGUAUCUUAUAUUCUGAGCCAUAUCUAUAGUUUAGGCCAACAGGAAAGUAAAACAAAAGCUUAUGGAACACAGUGCAAUGGUGUUUGCUAUACAUGACAGCAGACAUGCCAGUAUAUCAAGAGUAAUUGUUUAAGUUCAUGCAAGAGAAAGUGACAUUUACAGACCUUCGUUUGCUUGCAAAAUUCAGGAAGAGACCACCAAGUCUCAUCAACCACCACGUCUGGAGUACGAGGCUUGCCGUUGAAGGCAACUGCAGCUAUAGAGGAUGUUAAACCACUCUUUUAACAGAUGGAGAUUUUGCACAUGAUCCCAGAACAUUAAGAGUCCCUUUUAGAGCAGGAUCAAUCAAUUCAGCCUGUCAACAAAGAAUUCCUUAUGGUGACUCACAGCCAUAACAAAUCACUCACCUUGCUAAGAUGAAGUAAUAGAAAACCCAUUAGCAGAGAUAUUUAAAUUUAAAAAAAAAACUAACUUCAAUUUCAAGGAAUAGUGCUAAUUUGAUACUUAAUUCAUUAACCAUGCAAUAAGUCAAGAGGACAAAGGGCUCAUUAACCAUGCAAUAAGUCAAGAGGACAAAAGGCUCAACAGUAAGUGAGGCUCCUUUAGCAAAUAUACCCUGCUUCUAUCAGGGUUUAAGAAAGAUUUGCACCAGUUAAAACAAUUAUUCGUCUACUUUUAGGUCGGACAAUGGUUUCACAUAACUUAAAAUAAGGACUACUAAUAAAGUUAAUACAAGCAACACGGUGUUUACUUUUGAGUCCACAUAUAUGAAUUGGUCAACAGACAUUUUGCAGACAUCAAAUAUUGGUUUUCACCUCAAAGUCAUCACCUACAGAGUUGACAUACUGAAGGAAAACUCAAGACAAAGACAUUUAAAAUUAGCUUCUGCCAAAAUGAAGCUCUUCAAGCAUACUUGUAUGUCUGAUAUUAACAUUUCCUUAGCAUGGCACUUCUAUUUAUUUGCAUUUUGGCCCUUCUUGAGGUAUCUAUUAGCUUUCAAAAAAUACAAGAGCCCUGAAGCUACAAUUUAACUGCCAGCCCAGCAAUACCCAUUCGGUAACAAGUUCCAAGCCUAAGUUCAUACUUACUACGAAUUAGUUCAAAGAAAAAUUCCUCUUAAAAGAAUACAGCAGACAUGCUUUCAAUCCUUAGUCAAAUAAGGGACGAUCUGAACAUAGGGCUGAACAUGAUUUGAAAGCAAACUCAAUGAAUAGAAAGAGUCAACAGUACAACAGACAGCACUGAAGUGUUGCCUACAUGACAUGGAAAAACAUUGCUAAUUGACUGAAGUCAGCAAGGGAAGGCUCUGAAAGACUAUCUGGGGUAUCCUGUGGUUAUGGUACAAAUGAGUCCAAUCAAGGGAAGGGAGAGAGAGAGAUCACCCAAUGCAUAGAACCUGUACCCUUAGAACAUCAAGGCAGCACACUAAGCAGUUCAUGGAACUACCCACCACCUCUUUUUUAGCUUCCCUCAAAUAGCUUGAGCAUCUUUGAGAUCGACAAUCAUACAUUUCUCAACGACGCAUCAACUGUUACUUAUUUCUUGUUUUAAAUAGACAGACAGAACAAAUUAGGGCCAUAGACAUGCAUUAGUUUGGUGAAGCAAGGAACCAUAUCGAGUAUCUUCUUUUGUAAGAUAAGUAGGAUGCUCUUUUCUCUUUUCCUAAAUGUUGAAAAGGAGAUUGAUGACAACAGUUAGCACCAUCUAACCAGCUGCCCAAAAAAAAAAAAAAGGAUGGCUUCAAAAAAAAGUUAUUUACCUAAAAGCAGAGAACACAAUAUUGAAACUAUACUGAAAAGGGUGCAACAAAUGAGUAAUUUCAAAUGUGCAUACAGAAAAAGAGAGAAGAUUUUCGAAAAACUGCACAAAUGUAAAAGAUAACAAGAAAAAGCACUGAAGUAGCAUACAUUUGACCAAAUUUUUGUCACUGAAGAAUUUAUUAGACUUUAGAGUCAUCAUUCCUGAACCCUCAUAAGUCAAAUUCUGGAAUUCUAACACUAAAUGAGCAACCCUCACAGAUUGACAAGAUUGCCUGCUCGGAUUAAUCAUGUCAGAAAACAUAACCUACUCAAUAUUCACAAAUUGUAUGUCCCUUCCUGGUCAGAGUGUUAAUAUCCAAACUCCCAGCAGAACAAACCUCAGAUGUUCUCAAAAUUGAUAUUUUGAAUCCUAGCAGCCAGCAAUUUUAAAUUCAGUAUUGAGCUUCUGAGGGCAUCUAAUGAGUGAAGAACUCAGUCCCAAGCUUCUUUCUAGAAAAGCUAAUGUCUUUAUACUAAGAUUUUAUACUUCAUACUCAACUACAACUGGCUAUCUUCCUUGGUAUUGAGCUUCUGCUGGUGUCUGAUGAUUAAAGACCUUAGUCCCAGUCUUUUUUGUGGAAAAAGUAACUUCAAUAAACCAAGAUUUUCUACUUCAUAUCCAACUACAACCGGGAAUUUUCUUGAGUCCUUUCUCCCUAAUUUUGAGCCUCAAAAGUGAAACAUCCAACCAUUUAUUUGCAGCAGCAUAGAUGUCUGAUAACAACACAUAAUUCCCAGCAUUUAAGGGCUCAAGCUCAAUUAGUCUACAUGCUACCUCCUCCCCCAAUUCAAGGUCACAAUGAAGCUUGCAAGCGCCAAGAAGUGCACCCCAAGCACCAGCAUGAGGCUUUACGGGCAUUGACUUAAGAAUGUCGUAAGCAUCUUUAAGCUUUCCUGAUCGACCAAGAAGGUCAAUGAGGCAUGCAUACUGAUCCGGAGAAGGCUCAAGAGAGAAUUCAUUAACCAUAGAGUCAAAAUAAUGGCAACCUUCCUUAAUGAGACCAGCAUGACUGCAAGCUGUUAGAAUUACCGUAAAGGCUGUAGUAUCAGGCACAAGUCCUUCCUUUAGCAUCCUUUCAAACAGUGCCACAGCCUGUGGACCACUCCCAUGAAUGGAUAGACCCUGUAUCAUUGAGCAGUAUGAGAUCACAUCAUGCGUGGGCAUUUGCUCAAACAAGGUUGAUGCUCUGUCCAUGUUCCCACACUUGGCAUUCAUAUCUAUGAGAGCUGCAGCAACUUGAACACGCUUGAGAUCAAAUGAGCUUUGAUGCAUAUAAGAAUCAAUUAUUUUUGCUAAUUCCAAACAACCCAAUUGGGAACAAGCAGACAUCAAGCUCACCAUAGUGAACUCAUCCGAUUUGACGCUCCUACACUGCAUCCUGUAAAACAUCUGUAUCGCCUCGCUGGGCUGUCCAUUCUGGGCAUACCCGGAUAUCAAGGCAGACCAGGAUACAAUAUCUUUUUCAUCUGAUUGCUCGAAUAACAUUCUUGCAGACACCAUGGCACCGGCCUUGGCAUACCCAUUAAUCAUAGUGGUAUAGGAAAUUGCAUUCUUCACGGGCAUCUCAUUGAAUAAUUCCCUAGCACUCCUCAAAUCACUGAAUCUAACAAAGCCACUAAUCAUCGCAUUCCAGGAUGCUAAAUUCCUAUUAGUCAUUUUAUCAAACAAGUUCUUCGCCUCCAAUGCCUCUCCGACAUUCAGAUAGCCAACAAGCAUAGCCGUCCAAGAGACUUCGUUUCUAACGGGCAUAAUAUCAAACAUCUUCCGGGAGCACUCGAUCUCCUUGCACUUGCCAUAGAAGUCAACUAAGCUGGAACCCACGUACACAUCAGUUUCAAUACCACACCUUACUAUUGACCCGUGGAGAAUCCGCCCUUCCCUCAAUGCCAAAACAUUAGCACACUUGUUGAUCAACGGCGGGAAAGUAUACUUAUCCGGGCUUGCAUUCGUAGACUUUUUCAUCCGAUUGAAAAGCGAAAAUGAAUUGACCAAAGAGGAAUGUCUACAGUAGCCCUUGAGUAGGGUGUUCCAAAGAUAAAUAUUAGGCUGAAUGGCGCGUUCGAAAACAGCGGUAGGGUAGGAGAGGUCAGAAGAGAGAGCGAUGCAGAGGGACAGAAAUUGGGUAAUCAAAAAGGGAUCCUGCUCGCAGCCCUUGUGGAUGAUGUGAGGGUGGACUUGCUCUAAGCUUCGGAUGGUCUUGCACCGUUUUAAAAGUGAUAAGAUUGAUGCCGUAUAAGCAGAUGAUAAUGUUGAUGGUAAGGGGUCGAGACAAGCGGAUGAGUAUCGGCGGAUCAAAUUCAUAUGAGCAUCGGUUGUGACUUUGUGAAUCAUAGUGGCGGAACAGCCGAGCAGACAGUGCUGGAGCUGCAGUGUCAGGAUCCUGAUGGACCAGUUUUGGAAUUGGGAGGGAAAUUAGAAAAGUAGAAGAAGAAGAUUCAGAGAAUUGCAAUGUUUUAAAACCCGGACCGUCAAUUGAACCUGUGAAGUGAAAGGGUCGAGGUUCAACCGGUCGGACCGGUUCAACCCCAGUUCAAUAAAUAAAUAAACAAAUAAAUAUAUAUAUAUAUAUAUAUAUAUAUAUAGACACACACCUAUGCACAGAACAAGAUAUAAAUGCUAAACCACAAUUAACAUAAGAGCAAUAUCAAACAAUUAACACACACACAAUUAACAUAGUUAUCAAACUUAAGACUAUUCGUUUGUGGUUUUUACUCCUGCAAUGCAACCGAAGUAAAUAUCUUCUGUUUGUGGUUUUGUUCUUGAUAAUCUACACACGUAUUGAAAAUACUCCUAUUUACUUGUUUGUCCUUGAAAGAAUUUUUGACAAUUUUCUCAAAGAUAAGCUAAAAAAGAAAGCAAAUAGCCAUCUGUCCCAUGUUUCUUUGGUUUAAGACUUGCAUCCGUUUUUGGGUGUGUUGGCUUCAAAUGACAUCAGAAAAAGGAUACCCCUUUUUGAAAAAACUAGCAGAAGAGCACCGUGCGCAAUUUAAGUGAUGCGCACAAUGAGUUGAUAUUCAUGUAAUUUAUGGAUUUUUGUGUUUUGUAUAAUUAGGGGUGCAAACGAGCCGAACCGAGUCAAACAUUGAACUUAUCGAGUCAGGCUUGAUUACUGUACACGAGCUCGAGAAAAUUGAGCUCGAGCUCGACUCGAAUAAGUAAGAAGCUGGCUCAAGUUCGACUCAAUAAGGCUUGAUUUACUCAACUCAACAAGAGCUCAAAUUGGCUCGAAAAUUUCUGUCACUAAGCACAUAAUUUUUAAACGCAAUCCAUCCAGCUUGCAUUUUCUAACAGGACAAGCUAAAAAUUACCCCAGAAUGAGAAAAUAAAAAGUGAACAAUCAAAAACUACAAACCAAAAAUAUUUCAAUCAAACAGAAGGUAUAUUCCAUGAAAAUGUAUGUAAGAAGUUAAGAAAAGAAACCCAAUAUUCUUACCAAUCUUCAAAAAACAGUCCCUAAUAAUAAUAACAGAUCCAAAUUCAAAAAAAAAAGGAGAAAAAGUACAUUGACAGAAAGCCUUCUUCCAAUCAAUAAUCAGUACAAUCUCAAUUCACCGAUCAUGAUAUAGAAAACAAUUCAAUACAUGCGAAAGUCCAAAUAAAUUCUAAAUAAAUUGAGAGAAAUUGGGGAUCGAAAUGGGAAAGAAGAGGCGAUCUAAUUCUAACGAAAGCUCUGUCGCCAUUAACAGGAAAGAGGAAAUUAAUCAGGGAAGAAGAGAAAGGGCAACCUGUUCGCUUUGCCUGUUCGCGAGGCCCUCCACCAAUAGAGCUGAUGAAAUGGGCGUUGGAGAGGGCGGCAGUGGUGGGAGUCGGAGAUUGUUCGCUUUGCCUACCGUAGCUUCUAACUGGGAGUCGGAGAGAAAUGGCGGCAGUGGUGGCAGAAGUGGCCAACAAACUGGGAGUCGGAAAGAAAGGGCUCUUCAAUUGAAGGCCGGCAGUGGUGGUGGCAGAAGUGGCUUGAGCCUUGAAGACAGUGGUAGCGGCGGCUACGGCUUGCUUUUGAUUUGGGGAAAGAAGAAUGCCGACAGCAGAAUAGCCGAGUGGGAAGAAGGAGAUGUGUUUGUGACUUUGGGUCCACCGUCCUCCACUGUCUUGGUCCUUGGAGAAAUUUUGUUAUCUAGUUUCUAAUUAGUAAUUAGUUAUAUAAGUAGAGAUAUUUAUGUAAUUUCCUACUGCUCGUGAGCCGCUCGGACUUUCAUACACAUGACUCGAACUCGACUCGUGUUAUAAACGAGCUGCUCGAGCUCGACUCGAACGUUGACCGAGCUGCUCGCGCGAGCAGAUCAAUUCGUUUGUAUCCCUAUGUAUAAUGAAUGCAACUAAGGUGAUAUAAUUAUUAAAUAUAUAAUAAAUAGGGUUUCAAAUCUUUAGGGCUAAUACAUGGAACUACGGCGGUAUAGUACUAUAGUGUCAUAAUAAAAAAGAGUGAAUGGCAUAGUAAUGGAUAAGAAGGAGUUUCAUUAAAAAGGAUGCAAAUUUCAUCUGUGCGGAUAUUAUUUUUUGGAUGGAGAUACUUAUUAAAUCAUUUGUUGAAAUGAGGUAUAAAAAUUGGAUUAGUUAUUUUGUAAUAUAUAUUUGGAUUUACUAAUAUGCGUAUUUGGUUAUGCCUAUAUGUAUAUUGUGUGGGUCAGAAUAAUUGGAUAUUUGAUUUAUAUUUAAUUUCUAAAUUUUGUUUGAAAGAACUAUAAGGGAAGAACUAAAUUUACACACUUAUAUACUAAAUCCACAUUCUAUCGGCUUAUUAUAUAAAGACUUUUAAAGUAUUUAAUUAGUUGUUCACAUAACAGAAAGAAGAAUAGUAUUAUGUUUUCUUGCAUCGGGAUACUCAGUUCAUGCGCGCAUCAAUAGCUACUAAUUAGUAACUACUUUAAAAAAAAGAAAACUUUGGGUAAAAAAAGAGAAUAAAAGAAGGGAAAAAAAGGGAAGAAGGGAAAAAAAGGGAAAGGAUACUCUAUUAUAAUAAUAACUAUAAAAAAAGGGAAAGGAUACUCUAUUAUACAGUAUCCUUUCCCUUUUUUUCCCUUCUUUUAUUCUCUUUUUUUACCCAAAGUUUUCUUUUUUUUUAAGUAGUUACUAAUUAGUAGCUAUUGAUGCGUGCAUGAACUGAGUAUCCCGAUGCAAGAAAACAUAAUAAAGAAAAUACUGUAAAAAAAGCAAUAUUAUAAAAAAGCAACAACCUUGUAAAAAAAGAAAAUACUGUAGUUUAAAAAAAAAAGAAAUCGGCAAGUGUUUUUCUUUCCCUAGAAAUACUUAAUUUCUACAGCGUUAUUUUUCAUUAAUUAGCUACUAAUAAAGAAAAAGCGAAGAAACAACAUAACAACACAAUUUUAUAUUCUACUAUAAUAAUAGUAUUAUUAUUGUUGAAAAAAACGGCAACUUUGGGAAAAUUACUGUAAGUGAAAAAAUAUCGUUAGUAUAAAAAAAUGUAAGCCUGGGAUUUGAAUUUAGGAAACUUAAUUCCUGCAGCCUUAUCAAUAACUACUAAUUAAUAACAAUUUAUUAAACACAACAGCACUAUUCCAUAAUCUACUAUAGUAAUAUUAUUAUUAGUAUAAAGAAACUGAAACCCUAGGAAAAUAACAAAUAUUUUAAGUAAAAAAAAAAAAGAAAAAAAAUUGGCAUUGGAUUCGACGUCAAGUUAGCUAAUUUAUGUGACAUUAUCAGCAAGUAUUAAAAAAAAUAAUAACCACUUAAAAAAAAAGAAGAAGGAAACAAUGUGAUGGAAAGAAAACACCAAAUAUUGUUAGUACCAAAAAAAAAUAAAAAGUAAGCAUGGCAUUUGAAUUCUGGAGAGUUAAUUCCAGCAGCCUUAUCAAUAACUACUAAUUAAUAACUAUUUAUAAAAAAUUGUUAGCUAAAAAAAAAAAGAGUAGACAUGGGAUUUGAAUUUCAGAAUGCUUAAUUCCUAAGAUUGAGUAAAAGAAAGGGGAAAAAAAAGGAAAGGAAAUAUAAAAAUAGCAAUCUUGGGAUAAAAAUUAAGGAUGAUGUUAGAACCAAACCUUAUAUUAUAUUAUAAAAAUUAAGGAUGAUGUUAUCUAAUAGUGUGAUAUAUUGUUGAAACCAAAAACUUGAUAAUCCAAGAAACACAUAAUUUAGAUGAAAAUGAUAGAACUCUCAUAGAAAACAAAUACAACAAAGGAAUGAUCAAAUAAGUAAAGAGACCAAUCAAUCUUUAGGCCAUUGUUGCUGCUCUCUAUACAUUUGCGUGAGCAUUGUUUAUUUUACUUCUACCAUGAAUGACAAAGCCUUGACCGCAGAUGUGCAGAUACUUGGAGCCUGCUUCAAAAGAUAUAUUUUGGAUUUGUUACUAGGCAGAUUGUUUACCAUUAAGAUUCUAGCUCUUUUUCCAUUCGGUUUUACAACGUAUUUUUUACCAUUAUUAAGUUCAAAAAGAUUAUAAUUCCUUUUUCAUUAGAUUUUUUGACAAUUUUAUUUUUAUUAUUUUUUUUGGAUUGUUAUUGGAUCACAUAUUUCUCAUGUAUUCAUAUAUACAUAUAGUGCAUCAAGAGAUAAGUGAUGUAGCAGUAUAUCAUAAUACUUGCUUUCAUAUCAUAGUUACUAUUUUUGAAUUAACAUCAAUUUGAGUAGCAAUUGUUCUUUAACUGAGCGAAUUUAAAAAAUUGAAGCAGUUCGGGUUUUGUUAACCGCCUGUACCAGUGUGGAUUUAUCACCAUCUUUGGUGCUUCUCUUUGUGCACGCUUCCAUUGUCAUGCUUGAAGGCUGGAAACAAAGGAAAAAUGGAGACUUUAAGCAGGGAUUCUCUUUAAGAAUUGAGAAAAUAAAAGACCCACAAAAGAAAGACAACUAUAAAUCACACUUAGCAACUAUAAUCUUCUCCACGUCACAAUAUAAGAGAUUGAAAAUUCCUGGAAAGUUCUAAUAUUUUGCCAACUUCAUAAAAAUCAUAAAAGGCUUGUUGCCUAGAGAAAGGUCCUGUUUAUCAAGUGAUGCUAAAGCCAGCCAAAAUCCUUUCAAUUCAAAGAACUAUGAAACAACAUUAAAAAAAUAAAAUUUAAAAAAAUUCCAGGUUUAGAAACAUUAUUAUCAGCGGACCAGCUCAGUUAGAUUAUAACAAACGGUUUGAAUAGAUUCAUUAGGCAUCUCAAAAAACUGAUGGAAUUUCAAAAAAAGAUUCAACGGUCAAAAGGGUAAGAAGCAUCCAUUAAUCAACCUAAACAGUACAAUAAUACAAUCCCAUAAUUUACUGCAAAAAUAAAUGUUAGAGCUCUCUUGGAGCAUCUGAGAGUGACAAAUAUCAGCAAAAGGCAAUAUUAUGUUAUCUUCAGAAAAUGACAUCAAAAGUAAUCUCCAAGUAUCAUAAAUGUUCCCCAGCAUAGAAUAGACUAUUCUUGGAUGAGUUAUACUAUAAUAUACAGGUAAGACACAAGAUGCAAGUAUCUUAGGGAAGGAAUUCCAUUGACUUCUCAAGCAUGCUACUCUUACUUAUAGCAAUAUGGUAAUGCAAAUAUAGCUAUUUUAUUAGUUCCAUUUUUCUAUAUGGUUAGACAGAAUCAAUAAUCAGAGACUCAUGGCACUUAAAAACAGGAGUUGCAAACAUAUUUUUUAAGCUUGCACAGAUUUUGUUUAAUCAAUCGCAAAUUGCCAAUGGCUUAAAUGGAUGUUCAAACAUCUAGGCAUUAACGCAAGGCAAAUAUUAAAACACUAAAUAAGUAGAUCAUUUACCAUGAAUUAAUUCCCGUUACCUGCCUAAAACAACUCUAACAAUUUUAGUCCAUCCAUUGCCAAGUAUAUUCCACGCCUGCAUACGAUUUCUAAAUUUCAGAUUAUCCCAUCCAAUAAGAAAAAAUUUGACCAUCCAAAUUGAAACAAUCAGAUCAGUAAAAUUAUGCUAGUCCUUGUAAUUUAGUGAAAAUUGACAUAGGGUUGAAAGCAAUUGGUUAGCUUGUACAGUUCAGAUUCAUGAAAUAUAUAACUAAGAAGUUUUACCAAGAGAUUUAUUGCAUUUUGUACUACUAAACUGUACCAUGAAAGCCAGCCAAAAGGUACGAAGAAGGGAAGAAAAAAGCUCCAUUGACAAUAAAAAAAAACCUCUUGAAUGGCAGGAAAGAAGAGAAGAAAAGCCAUUUUGGUGGUGAACUAACUUUAAUAUAAUUUAUAUUAUAUCCUCAAAAUGUCAUCCUAUCAGAUACACAAGCCAAUCCCCUCAGAACAAAAUUAGCAAAAUUUUAAUGAAAAACUUGUACUCUAGCAAAAGAAAAAUGAAAAGGCAAAAUUUAUGCAAAGACAUGAGGAAAAGGCACUUAGAAACAAUAAUCUAAAAUAAUGGAAAUCCUUGAUGACUUACAAUGCUUUGGUCAUUUGUGGCUGGAAACCCAGCAACUAAAUACACACAAAACUAUCAAAAACAGAUCCAACAUUUAAUGGCAUAGAGAUGCAAAGCAAAUAAAGAAAUCAGGCAUUCUCCUUAAUGAAUGGAAAAGGAAGCUCAUGAAAGAGCAUCCAAGUAAUGAAUAACCAGGAAAAUCACAAUCAAAACUUGAUUAAAAAAUAUAAAAAAUCACAGUGCAUUAAAGUAAACUUUUUAUUAGUGCAUGAAAUAAAAUAUACCAUAUCUUAGAGCAUUGCAGCAAUGUUGAAGAGGAAAAAGCCCAACUUUCUCCACCUGCAAUCACAAAAAAAAAGUAAAUUUUAGAUGAGUAAAAGGGGAAGAAAACAAUGAAGAGAAAAUCAAAUAUACAAAAAAAAAAAGUUCACAAUGCAUAAGCAGCGACUUUUGAACUAUCGAUAGAUGAUAACGAUCAUGAUGUCUGCAAAACACGACACAGAAACUAUUAGACACCCAAUUUCCAAAUUGAAAGUAUCUAGGUUCUUAACCUUCCCCAUUGGAGAAAUUUAUCAAAUAACACAAUCAUCCACAAUGUUAAAACAGUUAGGCAGAUAAAAUAUUGAGAAAUUUAUCCGAAUAAUAAAAAAUAAUUGCACAGCAAAAACAUAGUGAGGCAAACAAAAGAUUAAACAGAUUACACCAAUUACUCCAACAUCGUAACUCGUUAGAUUCAGUUCCACUGCCAGCUUAACAUAAACUUUCACAUUAUCAACUGAAUUUCAGAAACAUUCAAUUGAACUUGCUCCAAUCAAUAAAGUGAAAAAUUCAUGCUUUUAAAAUUUCAAUUGCCCUGUUUCCCGUAACUACUACAUCCAACCAUCCAACCUAAGCAAAAAUUUUCAGCUUUCAACACCCAAUUUGAUGACAUCAACAAUUAGUAAUAUAGGAAACAUCUCUUUAUAGUUAUUGUAGAAAUAGCUAUGGAAUUUGAUUAAAACUUAAAUCAUAAAGAGGGAAAAUGGGAUAAGUAGGAGGCGUAGUAGUAAAAGUAAAGAUUAAAAAACCCCAAGUUUUGGAGUUUAAAAAAAAAAGGGGACAAAUCAAGGGCAAAAAAAAAUAGCACUGAUAUAAAAGACAAAGUAUUACCUCUUCAUGUGCUAAUUCCACUGUCAAAGUUUAUGAGCAGGAAGGCGGAAACACCCAAAUGGAUUUUGUGGUUCACUGGCAUAUCAUUAAUAUAACACAUCAUAAAAAAUGAAAGAUAAAGUAAUAAUACGGAUUUCUUUUUACUUCUAGCCAAAACAAACGGAAAACAUUAGACACAAAAAAAUAAAAGAAACAAAAUAAGGGUUUUCUAACAAAAAAUAAAAGAGAAAUAUUCAAUAACAAUAAAAUGGAACAAAAUAAGAAAAUUUCAACAAAAACAACCAUGCAACAGUCAGAAACUUGUGAAUGGGAAACAGGAGAUGAAUCUGAGGAAGAAGAGUACAAUGGGGAACAGAGGUCUUCUAGAAGUGCAAAAAAAAUUUUAAAAAAAUUUAAUGCAAAUCUGCAAAGAAAAAAAGAUUACCUUAUUAGUCUUGCUGCUUGAGGAAGAGGAAGAUGACAGAGGAAAAGAAAAAGAGAGAGAAUGACGAAAAAAGGAAGAAAUGAAAAGAGAACCAGAAGAGACUGAGGGGGAAGAGAGAGAUAAAAGCACAUGUUUUCCAGCACAGGGUUUCAGGUGGUUUGGAAAAUAAAAGGGAACGAAACCGGUACAAGAAUUCCAGGACCAACAAGUCAACAACCACGGUGCACGUGAUUUCCACAUGAAGAAGGACGAAAGACCAACAACAAAUUCCACCACCCAUUCCCACUUUAUAUAUAAGUUCUUUAUAGUACAAUACUACAAAGUUAAAAAAUUGCAGGCCAUACUCAAUGCUGUAUGUUGUUGAUGUGCAAGGAGGCACCAUGAACUUAACCAACCUUAAUGCUGAAGUUUAUUUCCAUCUGUCAUGUUAAUGAAGGCAGGACAGCUAUUGAUCUAUUAUUAGAAGGAGAAAAGGGAACUCUACACUUGUUUGCACCACCAAAAAACAAAUAGAAGUUGAAGUUCAGAUGGGUCAUAGUAGUUCAGUAGCAAAAUGGUACUUGAAUUCAUUUAUAAUCCUAAAUUUCAAGGCGAGUCAUAAUUCCAAUCAGGUCAAGCGGAGUUAAACAUAUGACAGGCAAAAUAACUACUUCAUACUUUAUUCAUCAAGAAUCAGCACAACACAUCAGAAUGUAUCAUUUUAGGAAUUCCAAAAUAGGGCAUUGCGUGGAUAUAUGAGCUUGGAAAAACCAACAAUAUGUUUAUUCAGUAAGAAUUGUUAGCCUAAUAUGGUCCUAUUCUCUGCACAAUAAAGGAAAACUAAGUGAGCAGAGUUGCAGAGAGUAACGGAAUUUUCCAACAAGUAUCCCUCUAUAAGGUUUAGCAACUUCAUUCUAGCUCCCUCUGCGGAAUAUUCUAGCUCGCUCUUAGGCAACAAAUUCUCAUUUCGAAAGAAAUUCUGCAUCCAGGGUAUAAAAGUUAAAAUCCCCAAAUUUAACUUCUACACAUUUGGAAAUUAGCAAUUUAGUGGAAAAUAAAAGAACUUUGUAAAUCUGUUAUGCAAGAAUUGCUCUUCUUAUCGUCAAAGCAACCAAAGCGUAAUUCCAGAGAUUAAUGAACAACGAAAGGGAAAAAAGAUUAAUGAACCUGGUAUAAGCUUGAAUUCCAGAGAGUUCGGAAUAAGCGUGUGACGGCAAAAAACUUCAGGCUUCGGUGCUUCCUUUUUACUGAUUGCAGAGACGACAAAUAGAGACGGCACUCGGCACUCGGCGCUCGGCAGGCAAGGCAAGGCAAUUGCAGAGAGAGGAAGCGGACUGAAGUGAAGAGGCAAUUUCGGCAAUUGACUACAGCAGGCAAGGCAAUUUAGGCAAUUGCAGAGAGAGGAAGCGGACUGAAGUGAAGAGGAAGACUGAAGUGAAGAUUAGGGUUCAGAGUCUUUAGACACUUUCGGUCAAAAAUGGAAAUUUUGUCAAAUUUUACUCAAAAAUUGGAAAACCACGGUUCACGGUUUGAGUCGGUUUAAUGGUUUGAACGGUUUUUUAACGAGUUUGACCGGUUCUUGAUCCAAGUCAACUUAAGUUAUGAACCGGACCGGACACAUGACCGGUUCGCGAUCGAACAGAUCGAACCGGCCAAUCUGAUCCGGGUUUAAAAACAUUGGGUACAGUCGGUUAGUUCAGAUACAUUGUUGCUCAUUGGUGCGCAUCGAUUUCCUUUGUCAAUCAUAAAAAGCAAUUGGAUUCUGACAACUGAAGUUGGUGGUGGGCCGCUAGAAUCUCCAAUGAACCAACAAGUUCCGUAGACAAAAGCUCAUGUGUCAUUUGAAUAUGACUUGAAUUAUUAUAUUUAAUUAUUAUUAUUAGUUUGCUUGUUAGUUGCUUACAUUUGAUUUAAAAGAUUACUAUUACAUCAAUAGUUUAUUACAUUUAAUUAGUGUUAAUUUAUUACAUUUGAUUAGUAUUUGAAUUAGUUUAAUUAGCAAUAAUUUAUUAAUUAAUAGUGUUAUUAGUAUUAAUUGUAUUAUAUUUUCCUGUUCAGUACAAGUACUAUUUAGUACAUGUUAUUGCAUCUUCUUGUUUAGGAUUUACAAGUAUUUAAGGUUUCUGUUGCUAUUUAGUGCAAGUAGUUACUAUUAAUUAUAUUUAAUAUCUUCUUGUUUAGGAUCGAUUGAUUGAAUGUCAUACGAGAAAUAGUACCACCACAAAGCAAUAAUACAAGUACUAUUUAGCAAAUAGUAAUAGUAACAGUAAAAGUAAACAGUACUAACAAAAAUAACAGUAGUAAAUAUUAACCAUAAAGAAAAGUCACGGUAAUAAUAAUAAUAAAGUAAAUAGUAAUAUUACAAAAAAAUGGUUAAUAAUAGAAAGGCAAAUGGUGAAUAGUAAAAGUUAAUAGUAAAAGUAAUUACUCAGUAAUAGUAAUAGUAAACAAAAAAUUGUGAUAAAUGUUUCAUUAAUAAAAAAGUAGUAAGUAGUAGUAAUUACUUAGUAAUAGUAAUACUAGGAAUAGUGAAUAAAAAAUAGUAAUAAAUAUUUCAUUAAUACUAAUUAGGAAUCAUUAAAUUAUAACAUAGUAAUAGCAUAAGUUACCGUUAAUUUUAUGUUUAAGGACAAAUUUGUGCUUGUCUAAUUAUUAUGUUACUUAUUACUAGUGAAUAAUAAUUUGUGAUUGUUUUAUUAUGGUUGUGAUUAAUUUAGUAUAGUUAAUGUAAAUUCAUGUUUGGAAUCACGUAAGCGCUUGAUUCUAAAAUAAAUAAUAUUCACAACAUUAGGUAAAAAAUGUCAACAUACCUUGCAUUGGUGAUUCAGUUUUAUUGGAGAGACAAAAUAGUGGAGACCUGAGAAUCACUUUCAUAUGAUCCACUGAGGUGCAAAACGAUAUUAGUGAAAGAUCAAAUAGAUUACUAUGGGUUGGUUGAUAGUAUACACCUACAUAAGACUAGAUCAAACUGUGCUCAAUUUGAAUCUAUGGUUUAGGAAUUUAGUAGGCCAAGUACCAUUGCGGAACUAUGCUUGGAUAUGAAGAAGACAUGGAUAUGAUGUACCAUAUGAAAAUGACAUCACCUCACAUAGCAUGUGAGAUAUACAUAGAGGUGAAGUCACAGUUCCAACAUGACCACGAUAAUGUCAAUGUUGGAAAACCUCAUUUGUCCAAGGCGAUCCCCAAGUGGAGUUAGACCAUAUGCUCCCAGCCAUCUCUUAUCGUGGUUGUAUGCUAGUAAAAUCGGAGUCCACAUCCAUGAUAGAUGAUGAUUGAAAUCGUGGAAGGGUCAUAUAAGUCGAAAGCAUGAGCGGGGCAGAAGUAACUGGGACAGUAGUUCUAGGGCAAAAUUAUCUUUAGUGCAAAUCCACCUAACUUCCUCUCUAUCGAAUAUACAGGAAAACAAGGGUGUUGAUGUAGAUCCUGACACCGAACCGGAACCUGAUGGCGAUAACUCCGGCGAUACUGAUGAUGAACAUGAUGGAGUCGGCCAACAAGAGUUCAAGCUUGGAUGCGGCUAAUGCUUUAAUCUUAGCAUGCAUGUGGUAUUUCAAUAGAUUUAAACAAGAAAAUUUGGUGAUUUCGGAAGAAAGUUAAAGAGUGUAAAUUCUGAAAAUUUUCACAGCCCUAGACCCGAAACUUGAAGCUGAGUUUUCAUAGCUUAUAGUUUUGAAUUUUGGUAUAUCUUUGAUACAUUAUUGCUUUAAAUAUGCUUUGCUUCAUAUAUCUUAGGUUGUAUGUUGAAUUUCUUAGAUUAAAAAUGAGAAACGUGUGAGAUUCAUAAGAAAAGUGGGCUGAUUCGUUUCACUGAAACUUGAAUAUAGUUUAGCUUUCUUUUCGCUAUAAUUGAUGAUUGGAAAUUAGCAUGCAAGUAGGAAUUUUCUCCUAGGUUUUAUACCAAAUAAAUAGAUAAAUAAUUGUGGUAUUUGUAACUUGUCUCAGGAGUGAGCAAGAGGGUGACCCCAAAGCCGAAGUGUGAUUUUUCACUUAGCGUAAGUGUUCCUUAUGUGCAUUUAUGAUUAAAUGUCUCUACUGGAUUAGUACUUGUUGUUUACUUGUUUGCUUGGUGAUUGUUGAAAAGUAUUGAUGGGAAUUGUUAGAUAUAUCUUAUUGAUUUGUUAAGACUUGAGUUAUCUACGGCAUUACUGUUGAUAGAUGAGUGCGUACUUUAUAACACUCGAACUAAUUGAACUUGAGAUUUCUAUGGUCUUAACUACUGGAAUAAAUGUUCAUGAUUGUAAGCAUACGUGUACUUAAUCGCAUCAGCUGGAUUGGACCCUAAAACCCAUCAUCAGUUGGCAUAUUUAAGUCAGCAAUGGGUUUGGUCGGGUAGGUUAGGAACCUUGAGUAAAUGCGAAUAUUACCUUGUAGUAUGGUGAUUAUUGAAAUGAAUAUUGAUUGAAGGAAAUUGUUUAUUGUUUUAGAGGAUAUAAGGGGUGAUUGCUGCAGUGAUAUCGUGUUGAUAUUGGUCCCUAACUUUUGGUGUUUACAAAACAAUUGGAUGAUACUAAUAUCUCUUCAAGAAAUACUUUCAGUUAUGUAGCAAAUCAGAUUCAAAGAUUAAGCACACUUGAAAGGGACAAAAUAUGCUGAAGCUAUCAGACGCUUAAAAAGACAAGAUCAGACGUCUGAUAGAAUCCUUCAAAGUCGACAAAACCAUCGGACGCUGAAUAUGUCUCCACCAGACGUCCGAUAGAAACAAGAUGAUUUCUCAAAUCUCUUUGCUUGCUAUCGGACGCACAAAGAGCUUGCACGACGUCCGAUAGAAAUAAAAUGAUUCUUCCAACUCUUUGUCUGCUAUCGAACGCAAACAUCCAACGUUCGAUGCUCCAACGGCUAGUUGAUUCUUCAACUACUUUCUAUCCGUUGGAAAUAUUAAUGAGGCACUUUUUUGUCCUAUAUAAAUAGUGGUUGGUCAGAUAUUUUAAAUAACUUUUACACAUAGAACAUACAAAAGAUUUAGAGUAGGUUUAGUGAGAAAACACUCUCCAAAGAAGAUUUGUAGUCUUAAUGGUGUGAGGUUCAUUGUAAGUUUUUCAUUUGUGAGUGAAUACUUCAUGAGUAUAGCUCUGUGAGGGUUGUCCUGAGGGAUAGUAAAACUUCCUAACUUGACCGAGUGGAGAUCGGGGCAAGGAGGAAGUGAACCUUUCUUUGUACAUAAGAGUGAUUGUAAUUCAUCAAUUUGAAGAAGUUUGUUCUAUAAAUUGAUCUACAAGCUCAAGAGGAGUUGGGUAGUCUGUGAUACCCCGAAUAUUAGGAGGUUGUUUGUAAAGAAAACACUAAAGUGUACUUCUUUGGGUUUGAUUUAAAACCUUAUUUCAUUUUAAAAGAUUAGAAACCCUAAUAUUUUAAUCAAAAAUCCUAAUUUACUUGUGACUAACCGGUUUUCUUAAACCCUAAUUUUAAUCACUGGAAUUGUAAAAUCCCUCACGUUUCUCUUAAAAACUUCCUUUUAUUUGGAGCUUAUGAUUUUAUAAUAGCCCUACCACCCAAUCAUCUCACAAUAAGUGCAAAUGAAUAUGAAAAUAAAGAUUUUUCCCUUUUUGUUUUAAGUUAGCGCGAAUUAGGGUUUUCACGUUUUCCAUAGUGUACUUAUCCGGUACGGAACAAGGAUCAAAUUGGGUGAUUAAAAGUGAUUUUUAGGUGAGAAAUAAUAUGUGAUUAGGAUCAAUGACCUAAGGUUAGUGAAUAAGAAGUAAAAACCCUAGUACGUGUGUUUUAAAGAAAAACGGCGCGAACCGACGGGUACCGCGCACUACCGAUUGAACACACUAUUUGACCAUCAUUUCCUUACCACGUGAGCUCAUUAAUAUUUGAGCAAAAUAUCCCCCUCAUUUCCAGCUAGUCUUGACCGAAAAUGUGGACCAAAUGCAAGGAAAGGAAAGAGAAAAAAAAAAGUGGUGGUGGUGGCGCCACUUGUCGCCACCUAAAGGUUUCUUGACCAACCAAGAAUCCAACCUUCUUAUCCCCAAUUUUGUUCUUUCUUCUUCAUUAUUUCUGCUGGUUGGCCGAACAAGAGAGGGGAAAAGAGAGAGCAAAAACCCACCUUCCUUCAUCUUGAAUUUAAGCUACAAAGUGAGGAAACAAAGAAAGUAAACCGAUUAAAGUUAUCUUUGAGUGUUGGUUUAGUGAGAGGUUGGUGAAUUUUUGAAGGGGAAAGCUAGGGUUGCUCUUGGUAGACACUAAGCAAGGUAAGGAUGAUGAUUUUCUCAAUUCUUACUAUUAAUCUUGUUUAAAUUAGCUUAGCAUUUCAAAUUUGUGGUGAAUAAUGGUUGCUAUCAUGUCUUGAGUGUUGUUUUUCCUUGUGGAUACAUGAAUUAGGGUUUGAUGGAUUGCUGCCUAUACUUGAUGUAUGGUUCAUAUAUGUUGUAUCUAAGAUUAAAUAGGGGGUUUUGGUAGCAAGUGAAGCAAGAAAUGAAGAAAGUUAUCAUUGAAACCAAAAAUUCCAGAUUUCUGGAAAAAUUUCACCCUAUUCUAUCCGGUUCCAGUUCAUGUGGUUAGAGGCCGAAUUAGGUUUGGAAUAAAACAUGAAAGUUGUAGAGAAUGGUAUUUUAUAGUUUUUUACAAAAUUUCAUCUCAAUCGGAGCAACGUAACCUGUGAAAAGACCAAAAUACCCUCACUGCCCUAGGUUAAAUUCCAAUGUUCCGCGUAGACAGUUCAGUCUAUUUGGCUGUGUUUAUUCACUAUAAUCUGUGUGGUUUUAGCCAUUUGCCAAAAUAUGAAAGUUUUAGUACUCUAUCUUAUCUAUUCAACGCCUCCAAGAACGUCUUAAACGGACCUUGGUAGCCUGAGAUAUGGCCAUUUGAAGGCAGUACGGUUAAAUAGCCGAAUAGUUGGAAUUAGGUUAUGUGAAUUGGGAAUUUGAUUAGGUUACACUGGAAAUUAGACUAAGUGCUUUCCAUGAAAAUUAUAGGCCUUCGUCUUAGCUUCGAAAUGGUAUAAGUUUCACCUCGAUCCGAUAAGCGUAGCCUUGGAUGUGCCCAUUUCGCAAAAAUUCGUCAAAACUGUCUUUUUUAAACGUCGUUUCCACACUCGUUAUUAGCUUGAUUUCUUGUUCUUGUAUUGUUUUGAGCCUAUUGAAUGGAUAUUGAAAUGAAAUUGUGUUAUGGGUAACCUUGGGUUUGGUUGAGUAAAAGAAUGAAGCCAUAAAUGACUGAAAAAUUAGGUAAAUACAAAGGGCGUGCUGCCCAAAUUUACGCUCGAGGACUAUAGAAAUACACUUGCGACUUGGGUAGAGUUGAUAUGAAUAUCACUUGAACCAUCUAGGGUACUUGAGUCUUCUUGUUCCGAGGUAUAUAAGUAAGGAUUUGGCCGAACUUGUACCCUUGAGAAAUGAAAUAAUGAUUGUUCGGAAUAUGUUUUCCUUGUACUUUCAACUCGUAUGGCAUUUUCAAGUAUAGAUGCUACAAAGUUUUAUCGUUUAAAAAGCGAGCAAGUGAAUUUCAAUUUCUUGAUUUUUAUUGAACGAAACGUCUAAGUUUCGAAUCUUAGUCGAUUUUCAAAGUUCUUAAGCCAAGUUUUAUUGCAGAUUUGGACUCCAAACCCGGAGUACCACCCAGACGUGAUUACUAGAGGCACUAUAUCUUUGGUGAGUGCUUUCAAAUACCGAAUUGAACUUGAUACUUGAACUUGAUACGUGACCAAUAUGAUUACAUGUUAUAUACGUGAAUUGUUAGGGUAAGAGUGUACUUUAUCGCACUUGCCUUUAUGUGAUAUAUACUUGUUUAUGGUUGCAAUUGACUUGAUACAUUUGUUUAUGAUGUGCGCACUUCCUGGAAUUCCAGAAACCCUGUGGCGAGUUACUCUAGUUGAGCCGGCAAGGGUUUGGUCGAUUGGGUAACGAACCCUGGGUCUCUUGUUUUGUCGAGUGGAGUGAUAUCUUCUCGACUAAUCGGUAUACUCGAGUAUUACCACCCGUGUUUCUUGAGGAUUUUGGGCCCAGUUGGGGGUUUGAAUGGUGGACGGAGAGUCGUUUAAGUGGUGUUCUACUAGAUUGGUUACUUACUUGAAAGUUGACGGAGUGUCAACUGUUACUUGAACAAGCUUGGGAGAUGCACUGGGAUUUUGGCUCCUGAGAGUCUUCCGUAUCCUUAUACUUGAAAAUGAUUAUUGCUUAUCGGAUUGUUGUUUCUUUUGAAAACCAAAAGCACUUUACACUCGUGCAUUUGGAAAUUUGCUAGUUGAAGUGUUGGUGUUCACCUUUAUGAACUUGUUAAGCUCGCUAUCUUUUGCUACAUUGAUACGUGUACUUUUAAUAUGGUCAAUUUGUUAUUUGGAACCUCACUGGGUUUUUAGGUCAUUCCACGCUAUUUGUUUUCCUUACAGGGGGUACGAGCGAGGCGUGAGAUGUGUAAAGACUAACGUAGUCUAGUUGUUUGACUUUUGACUUUUGUCUUGUACUCGCGUUAUUCCUCGAAUAGAAUGUUUUGUAUUUGGAUUGUAUCCGCUUUGAACCAGUUUGGGUAUAUUGAGGUUUUGUACCUUGAUUUUCAUCAAUGUAAAUUAUUAGCUUGAAUUGUGGAUGUUAUUUAUGGUUCAUGGAUGUAUGCACGUGAUUCGAGUGAGUGAGUGAGUCCUGGCGAGAGUUGGGCAGGCGGUCCGCCGAACCCUUUAGUACGCCUUAGGGGGAGGUGGGGUCGUCUCAUAGUCAAUUGGUUUGCUAUUUUUUCUUUCUUAUUUAUUUAUUGUUACAUUUGUGAUCUUUAAAUUGCUUAUCUCUUCUAUUUCUCUCAAGUGAUUUUGUUCAUUCAUUGAUUGACUCAUUGUGUGAUCACUUAGAAAAGAGGAUAAAUUUUAUAUUAAGCAAAAAGGUGUCUCAUCACUUGAUUAGGUUUUUAAUCAACCUAAUUCACCCCCUCUUAGGUUGUUUUCGGGUCUUACAAUCGGUAUCAGAGCUUGGUCUCCUUGAAAUUAAACUCAAUCGAUUUAGGAGUAAAGAUGACAACCAAUAAUACUAUGUUUUUUGAAGGACAAUCUGUAAUUAGACCACCUAUGUUUAAUGGAUCAAAUUAUGUAAGUUGGAAAGAAAAAAUGAUUAUUUUUUUGCAAUCAAUUGAUAUUGAAUUGUGGUUUAUUAUUAGUGAAGGUCCAUAUGAUGCCUCUCUUAUAGAUGAAAAUACUCAUAGAUCUAAACCAAAAAUAAGAAGUGAACUGACUGCUGUGGAUAGAGCUCAUCUCACCUUAAAUGCAAAAGUUAUGAAUGUGUUAUAUUAUGCUUUAGAGUCAAAUGAAUCUAUUAGAGUCAAGGGUUGUAAGUCCACUAAAGAAAUCUGGGACAAACUUAGAGAAAUCCAUGAAGGAAGUGAGAAUGUGAGAGAACAAAAGAAAUCUAUUUUGGUUACCAAGUAUGAAUCAUUCAAGAUGGACCCUCAUGAAAACAUUGAUAAGAUGUAUUGUAGAUUCGAAAAUCUCAUUAAGGACUUAGAGGUGCUGGAAAAGGAAUACUCUCUAGGUGAGAAAAAUAGAAAAAUUUUGAAUGCCUUAUCCAAGGAUUGGGAGAGUAAAGUAACUGCCAUUGAAGAAGUUAGAGAUCUAAAUUCCUUACCUAUUGAAUCUUUUAUUAAUUCUCUAAUCUCUUAUGAGCUGAAACUUAAGUCCAAAGUGUAAGAGGAAGAGGAUGCAAAGGUAAGAAGGGGCAUUGCUCUAAAAGCAUCUCAAGAUGAAGAUGAUUCGGCUUCCUUAGAUAGGAAAGAUGUUGAAGUUGAUGAGAGUGAUCUUGCUCUCAUUACAAGAAGUUUCAAGAGAAUUUUUAACAAAAGAAAAUUUAGAAGAGGAGGAUCUUGUAAUUCAGAUUCUAAUCAAUUCAACAAUGGAAGAAACAAAGGAAAGUAUGAGAUCAACAAAAAAUAAGGUGACAAAUGCUAUGAAUGCGACCAAUUUGGACACAACAUGAGUGAGUGUCCAAUGAAGAAGAGGAAAGAUGAAAGAAAAUCAAGAUUCAAUAACUUUCAAUUCACAUGGAAUGAGUGCAACUCCGAUGGUGAAAUUGAAGAGGAAGAAAAAUCUGCUCAAUUGAUUUUUAUGGCCAUUAGAGAUUAUGAGGUAACAUCUUCUACCUCUCAAUUUGAAAGUGAUGAUGAAAUUGAUGAUGAUCUUGAAUCUUUCAUUAUAAAAUUGUAUGAUAGUUUGAAAAAAUCUUAUGCUAGAAAUAAGUAAUUAAAACAUAAAAUUUGUUUUUUUCUUUAGGACAAUGCACGUCUUUUUCAAGAAAAUAAAAAACUGAUAACUGAAAGUGAUUUCUUAAAAAGGAGUGAGACUGUUUUACACUCUGAACUUGAUAGAAAAAUAAAAUUUUGUGAAAUUAUCGAAAAUGUCAUAUGAAAAAUGAUUGUUAUGUGAGAAAAAACAUGAGAAGAGGCAUGAAAUGCAUGUGGAUAUUUAGACAUGAUGCUAACUCUAACAAGUAGGAGAUAUUGGUAAGAUUGGUGAGAUUCUUGUUCACAAUGCUUUUUUGUAAUUCUUUUUUGAAUGUUUUGAAUUGAGUUUUCCUUGAUAUUUUUGAAUAUUACUGAAUUUAUGUGAUGUCAAAAAGGGAGAGAAAAUAACAAUUCUGAUCUAAUAAUGAUUUUCUUUGUGAUAUGUUGGUACUUCUUUUGGUAUCAAGUCUCUGUGAUAUGUUGGUAUGUUGGUAAUUGCUGAAUUUUGGUAUCAUUUCUCUGUUUUUGUUUGAAAUAUUGAAUUCUCUGUUAUUAUUGCUAGAUUACGGUAUGAGAUUUUUACUCUUUUCUUAUGAUGACAAAAAGGGGGAGAAAAAUGGAUACUAUGUGUUAGGGGGAGUUAUUCUGAUUUCUGAGAUUAUAAGUUUGGUACUUAAAUAUUUUUGGAUGCAAUGAGUAAGGGGGAGCUUAUGCUCAAUCUUUUUUCUUUCUUUCAUCCAUUGUUUUGUCAUCAUAAAAACGGGGGAGAAUGUUGAUCUUGGUCCCUAACUUUUGAUAUUUACAAAACAAUUGGAUGAUGCUAAUAUCUCUUCAAGAAACACUUUCAGUUAUGUAGCAAAUCAGAUUCAAAGAUUAAGCACACUUGAAAGGGACAAAGUAUGAUGAACCUGUCGGACGCUCAAAAAAACAGAAUCGGACGUCCGAUAGAAUCCUUUAAAGUCGACGAAACCGUCGGACGCUAAAUAUGUCUCUACCGGACGUCCGAUAGAAACAAGAUGAUUUCUCAAAUCUCUUUGUUUGCUGUCGGAUGCACAAAAACCUUGCACUGGACGUCCGAUAGAAAUAAGAUGAUUCCUCCAACUCUCUGUCUGCUGUCGAACGCAAGCAUCGGACGUCCGAUAGUAUCGGACGCCCGAUAUUUCAACGGCUAGUUGACUCUUCAGUUACUUUCUAUCCAUUGGAAGCAUUAAUGAGGCACUUUUUUAUCCUAUAUAAAUAGUGGUUGGUCAAAUAUUUCAAAUAACUUUUACACAUAGAGCAUACAAAAGAUCUAGAGUAGUUUUAGUGAGAAAACACUCUCCAAAGAAGAUUUGUAGUCUUAGUGGUGUGAGAUUCAUUGUAAACUUUUCAUUUGUGAGUGAAUACUUCAUGAGUGUAGUUCUGUGAGGGUUGUCCUAAGGGAUAGUAAAACUUCCUAACUUGACCGAGUGGAGAUCGGAGCAAGGAGGAAGUGAACCUUCCUUUGUACACAAAAGUGAUUGUAAUUCAUCAAUUUGAAGAAGUUUGUUCUAUAAAUUGAUCUACAAGCUCAAGAGCAAUUGGGUAAUCAAUUGGUUUGCUAUUCUUUCCUUCUUAUUUACUUAUUGUUACGUUUGUGAUCUUUGAAUUGCUUAUCUCUUCUACUUCUCUCAAGUGAUUUUGUUCAUUCAUUGAUUGACUCAAUGUGUGAUCACUUAGAAAAGAGGGUAAAUUUUAUAUUGAGCAAAAAGGUGUCUCAUCACUUGAUUAGGUUUUUAAUCAACCUAAUUCACCCCCUCUUAGGUUGUCUUCGGGCCUUUCAUAUCGAUUUGGCUCCCAAGUGACGUUAUAUCAUUUCAUAUUGAAUAAGUUAUUAUAUUGUAAAUUAUACAAUGAUUUGUCCUGAUUUUAAUUGUUUGUUAAUAUGUUAUUAUGUUGAAACUAUGGAUUUAUGUCGUUUAUUGAUUGUUUCUUUUCUGAGAACCUCACUGGGCGUAAUGUCAACCUUUAGUUUGUUUUCCUUACGGGAUAUGAGAGCGAAAGAAGUUGAGAUUAAUGAUAGAUCGAAUCCAAAGUCUCUAUUUGGUAUUUAUUGUAGACAAACUUGUACUAUGAGAAUUAGUGGAUAAAUUCUUACUUUAAUCCUAUUGGUUUGUAUAUAAGUGUGAAUGUGAGAACCCGUAAAUUUCUUGAUUUCUAGGCCUUAUUUUAAUUAUUUGCACGCCUUUUAUGCAUUUUCUUUAUUAGGAAAAAUUUUCUAAAUAAUUUUUAUGAGUAAAUAUAGUUUUUAGAUGAUUUUUCUAAUACCGGUUAGUUUUUGAGAAAUUAAGAGCAUAUACCGGACGUGGGACCCGCUAGUGCGGAAAGUUCGAUAAAAUUCGGCCAAUUAGAUUAAGUUUGGGAUACUGGGAUUAAUUUACUAGGUACUAAGAGAUAAUUAGAGAUUGUUAUAUGGAUGAGAGUGGAGAGACAAAAGGAUAACCAUGUAUUAAUUAUAGUGACAACUGUCACUUGGAGAACUAGUCUUACUUUUGACCACUAUUCAUUACUUUACCAAAUAAAUCAAAAAUUGACCCAAAAAUCACUCAAAAUUUCAAGCUCAUGGCCGGCCCUCUCUAAGGGAAAAAGAAAAGAAAACUCUCCACUUUCUUAGCCCCAAUCUUGUUCAAUCUUCAAUUCCAACCGUUUAAUCUUGAAUUUACUCCAUAAAACCUCUUAGUUUAGUGGUAUUAAGGUUGGUUGUGAAGUGGUUUGGAGGAGCAAGGUGCUAAAUUGGGUCUUUUUUUGGGUUUGCAAGGUAUGUGACCAAGGAACCUUCCCUUUGAUCCUAUUAAUGCUCAAUUGGUACCUUUUGUGAGUUAAAGAGAUAAUUUUAGGUGUUAUUUUGUGACUUUUGGUUGAAAUUGGUGAAGUUUUAUAUUUAUUUGGGAUUUUUCUAUUUUCAUAUGAUUAAUAUUGUGUGGCCAUGGAUGAUGGUUGGGAAUGGUUUAGAAUGAAGCCUUGGUGUGUAAAUUGUAGCUAUUUGCGGAAAAUUUCCGCUUUGAACCGAAAUUUCCAGGUUAGGGUUCCAAUUUUUCACUAUUCUGCCCGGCACUGUUGGAUCUAGUUAUAGGUCGAAUUAGCCUUAGGUUAAAACAUGAAAGUUGUAGGGAAUGAUGUUUUAUAGUUGAAUGCAAAAUUUCAGCCCAAUCGGAGCAAUGUAACCUGUGAAAAGACCGAAAUACCCCUGUUGCCCUGUUUCUACCCAAACAUGCUAAUCAGCUUCUGUAAUUGGUUGUUUUGACCAGGAAUACUACUGAUUUGGUUGUCGAUAUCUUCUUAAGACUUAUAGCCUUGUGGCUUAGCUUUAAAAUGGCUUUGAAAUCACUUGAAUUGGAGUUGUAUAUGCUGAGAUAUGACUGAAUGAAUCAGGACUGCCACAGUAAACUUCGAAUUGGAAAAUCUGGGAUUGUUUUGGUAAAUUUGACCUAGAAACAUUGUAAACUGGACUGAGUGGCCUUCUUCAACAUUGUAGGCCUUCCUAUUAGCUUCGAAACGGUGUAUCUUGUACAUCCAUCCGAUAAUCGUAGUGCCGGUUGUGUCCAAUACGCUUAAUGACGUUAAAACUGUUUUUAGGUCUUAGAGCUUAACUCUCAUUUCCGGACUUUCCCUAGCUUACUUUAAUACUUAUACGUUCUAAUGGAGCCUUAUUUUUGGUAGUAUAUGGAAUUGGUUUAUGACUUGUAAUCGAGUCUUAUUGUGCUUGUUUGAAUAUUUUAGGGCGUGACGGUGAUUAAAGACGCUCUUUGGGCGGAAGUUUAUGAAAUUUCACUUGCUUGCUUGGUGAGUGUACUACUCACUUGCUUGUUACUGUGUGGCUUUGUUAUAUUUGAACUUGGAAUUUCACUGACCUCUCUUACUCUAUUGCGUUUUUGGUAACAACGCAGUCCAAAUCUGAUUACAAUAUUAUUUUCAUGUGUGAGAAGGUAUUUUUAUUCCAUGGAUGCCCCUUUGGUCCUUGUAUUGGUAGAAGAUUGAAAGAAGAAUAAAUUAUUAGAAUGAUUACUAAAGUUGAGGGGUUAUAAGUACAAAAAAAAACGGUUGUAAGCACCAGAUGUGUCAGGAAAAAUGCCGAGUUUCACAAAUUUUAAGUCAACUAGUAGGUUAUCUAUUUAACAUAAAAUAAGUAAGUAAUUAAACUAAUUAAAUAGAAGAGAGAGAGAACCAAUUAAAUGCAAGAAAGUCGUAAUAGAGGAAACGUAUACAAAACGAAUAUUAGUAUAUCACCUUUUAAAUUUUACUCACAUAAACUAAUAGACAAUUCCAUAAGCUGGUUGGUGAAUAACAGAAAUUUAAUAUCUAAUGAAGGUGAUUAAAAAAUUAUUACUGCUAGGCGCCAAUUUUUGAAAGUUAAAUUUAUGUAUUUAACAUAAAUUUAAUAUGUGAAAGUUAAAAAAAAAGAAAACGAAAUAGCGCGUAACAUACCAGCUCUAUAUGGGAAACAUUGUAUCAACAUUUUAUGGGAAACAUAAGAGCUCUUUAUGCCAUUUACCCCACUUGGCGAAUAAACACCAGCUCUUUACGCCUCUUCUCAAUUAAUGGGUUCCAGUUAGGACGGUCGUGGCAGCAUACGAGGAGUCAGUCUGGCUUCGGUAUAUGUAUCGGGCGCGACCUUUUGGUUGCCAUUUACCCCGCCCGACCUGUCUGUCAAAUCUGUGCUACCGACUUCUAGAAGCUGGUUGACGACCACAGGUACGAACUAACCCUCCUUGUUUAUCACUGUGGAACCUCCUCUGCUCUGCGAUGAACGUCCGUAAAUUGACGAUGUACGUGUAGUUCAGGACUGUUCAUGUUUCCUUGCUAUCGGUGUAUUGUUACGGUUCGGAUGAAUUAAACGUAUUGACACAUACGUUGGUCGGUUUGUAAAAAUGUUUCGGAUGACAGUUUUUUGACGAUAGAAUGUUGCGUCGUUUGCAGGAGAAGUCGCCACUUUCCCAUUUGUGUUCGUUUAUCGCUACGGUUAGUCGGAUGUCCAGAAAUUCGGGAUAUUACACCUGAUCAAUCAUUAUUGGAUUUUAUGAGGAAGUUGUUGUUGUUUGAAGUUUACUCCAUUCUUGGGGCUUUCAGGGAUUCACUCAACUGUGCCCAGUAAAAGGAGUUAACCGGUCAUGGCCAACGAACAAAAAGGGCUUUCAGGAACCUCCAUCCUCUCCCUUCCGACCGAGGUGCUUGCACGUGUCGCAUCUUCUUCAUCAACUGAUCUUUUCCGGGCAAAACUGUGGUUCGUUCUGCUAUUGAUGAUACAAACAGGAAGAGGCGAAUUCUGUUCCAUUCUGUGAUUUUCGUUUAGGUUAAUGGAUCAUUUCUCUUAUUGUGCAGCUGUAAGUUGCUUAACGAAGUUUCGGACGCAGACAUCGUUUACCAGCGGGUGUCACUCGCCAAGUUCGAACUCGUUCCGUGGCACAAAACCACAAAGUGUCGAGCUUCUUGAAGAAGUGUAGACAAUGCAAAAAUCCAGAUGCACUGUAUCGAAAAGGAGUGAUAAGCAUCGGGCCGAUAAAACUCAUUCCCUUGAAUAUUCUACCUUUUCAAUUGAAGUUGGUAAUGAACAACCCCCAGUCCUGUACAGUAUAAGUCCUGGUCAAUGUCUUUGGCAAGUUGGGUUUUGAUUAGGAACGUAAGACUCAAUAGUUAUGGGAAAAUUCGGUAAUGUUUUAAAUGGAAUAGUUGUCAACUAACAUUCCAUAAGCAUACUUGAGUUACAAAAUUUCUAGACUAAGCUCACAUCAUGUCUUUCAUUUGAACUUCAUUGUGAUUCUGGUCAGCAUACUUCACCCCCAAAAGAUUGGCUUACAACACGUUACUGCAGCUUUGGGCCCAGUAAAUAACUGUUGUCCCGUCGCCACUGUUCCACCUGCACUUUUUAACUUUUUCGUUACUAAGUUUGUAAGCAAGACUGUAAUAUCAACCUUGGCACUGCUUAGGUUGAUUUCUUUACGGACAAGCAUGGGGACUCAGCAUCGGAAUGCUUGGAAGAAGCUGCUAAUUCAGGCCAUGCCGAUGCUGCAUAUGCGUUGGGAAUAAUUUACAUCUUUGUUGGUGGGGACGAGUUAAAGCGCAAAGGUAUGAGCCUGCUGAGCGGGAUGAAGAAAUCCGGAAUUCUGAAAGGCAGAGUGAAACUUUGCCGUGACAAUUUGCGAGCGCUACUGAGGAUGAUAUGGGUCAAGAAUCCUGUGUUUGCAAACCCAACGCCCAUUUGUUGUGCCAUGACACAUGAGAGGAAAACAUCUUCAUGGCCUAUGGAUGCGGAUGACGUGGAGGAGAGUACAUGUGAAGGCUGCGCUUGCGAUGAAGAAAUUGGAGCAAUUUGUGCUGCCCUACCUUAUCGUUAGUGUGUAAGAUUGAAUGUUGAGAACUCCUUUGACUGCACAAAUUUUUCACCAUCGUGUACAAAUUAAUUUUCACCAGCUAAAUAGCUUAUCUUGGCCCUUUUAUGUUCUGUAUUUGAUCGAAUCAUUAAUGAAGUUAGUAUACGAUUUUCUAAAAAUCCAGUGCGUUAACAAAACAUUAGCACACUGAAAUACGAUUCGAUAAUGUUUUUCAGGGUCGUCGGAGGAGAUUGGGCGGUGGUCUGCAGGGCUCGUUACCCUCUAUAUUUAGCAAUGUACAUAUACACGCUCGAAGUUCCUUCAGUACAAAACCACAUACAUAUGCAAACUCAACAAAACGCCGUUGUAGACAAACGUGUAUGAAAUGUAAGAAUAAAGGAUGAUAGUUAGAAGGUAAAGAGGGAACUCCUCAGCAGUGAUCUACGUGAUGGAUACUGUACUGAAGUGAGAAGUUUACUAACUACAUACGAAAUGGUGCUAGAUUAGAUAUUGCAAAAAAAAUUACUUAUGGAGGAAAGCCAUAGAGAGCUUGUCUUUUAAGAGAAUGAGAUACUAAUUAGAAAUGCGACCAUGAUUUGAUUUAUGAAAUUAUCAAAAAAAAUUUAGAAUGAUUUUGUCAAUAUAAUUAAUUAAUUAUUAUAUAUAUUCAUAUAAUGCAUUAUAUAAUUAUGCAAAUAUAUUAUAUGGUACGAAGUAUAGUAUAUAUUUAUUAUGAUGUUUAGUUUAGUAUUAGUAUACGUAUAAGUAUUAGGAAUCAUUAUAAUUAUAUAAUAUUUUAUUACUAUAUGCACAUAUAUAUUAUAAUUAUAUGCACAUAUAAAAUACAUUUAUAAAUAUAUAUAAAUAGUAAUAUGUAAAUAUAUAUUAUAAAAAUAUUUAUAAUAUACAUUUAUAAAAAUAUUAAUUAAUUUAUAAUAUACUUUAUAGUCAUAUAAUAUAUUAGUAUAAUUAUACAAUGCAACACAUAAAUAUAUAUAAUAAAGGCUUAAUUAAAAAAAAUGCAUUCUAAAUUUUCUUUGGAUAAUUUGAUAAUCCAAAUCGUGGUCCCAGUCUGUAAAGUAGCACUUUCUCGUAAAAGACCAGCUCUAUAUGGCCUUCCUCCAUUAUAAUAACAGAGUACCCUUUUUUCCAUAAAUAAUUAUAAUUAUCCAGUAAAAUAAGAAAAAAAUUGAUUUACUUUAAUUGACCAACUCUUUAUGGCUUGUCUCCAUUAUAAGAACAGAGUACCCUUUUUUCCAUAACUAAAUUUAUUUAUCGGAUAAAGAGGAAAAAUGAACUCGCUUUUCAAUAAAAGACCAGCUCUUUAUGGCUCUCCUUUAUUAUAAGAAAAGAGUACCCAUUUUUUCGUAAACAAAUGCCCUAAUCGGAUUGAAAUGAAAAUAAACAAGUUUUUCAAUAAAACGCUAGCUUUUUGGCUAUCGUCCAUAAAUUAUCCAAUGUCUGAUUUUUCCAUAAUGUAAUUCAGGGGAGGUUUCUGAAAGUAUCCCAAAAAACAUGUUGUGUAUAUAAUAUUAAUAAAUUAUAUAAAUAGAAAAUUACAUUUGUUAUUAUGAAUAGAUUGUAAUCUGCUGCCUGUAAAUUGUCAAUUGCGCAUAAACCGCUUCGGAAUAAUCUAUCCAAUACCGAAUCGGGUUGAUUUUCGUUUGACUAAAUCGGGUUUGCCUCCCUCCACGCCCGUCCCUGCCUGAUCAAUUAUCCCACAAAAAGUUUGUCUUUCUUGAACUUCUCAUCGUUUCUCCUGUUAAGCCCAUCAAACGCCGCGGGUGUUGUGUGAACACACUGAACAGCUUCGGUUUAAACUUUCCCCCCUUCUGAAAUUUGGAACAUUUCGAACAGUUUUAGGCGGCAAGGUCCAAAUAAAUCGGAUUUAUCGCGUUCGCUUCCUCUGUUGCUCAAAGUACUCAACACUUGAAUCGCAUCCCGAAGCAAGCAUAGCCAGUAACAUGGAGGCCUGUAUGAGUCUUCCAGUGUAUGCAGGCAUGUGGGUCGACGUAGAAGCUCUCGCUGGUGAGUGUAUCGAUAUCACGGAAUAUCUUAAUGCCCAAAAUUUGUUAAAUUUGCUGGCACAUAAUGACAAGUGCUAUGCUGCGAUGGUUAGGGAAUUCUAUGCUAACUGUAGGGCAAAUAAGCAGAAGUCUGUUCUGCGUUCAAUGCUUAGGAAUGUACACAUGGAAUUGUCUACUGAGGUUUUGUGUUCAGAGUUUGGAUUGGUUGACAGUGGAUACACUGUUGACUAUAAACGGAUUAACGCAAAGAAUGUAGAUAAGGUUGUGUGUGAAGGGGUACAAUGACCUAGAAUUUCUUGGAGAGAUUAGGCAAAAUGGUGACAGAGUUAUGAACAUGGGGAAGAAAACUAAGUUUUAUGGGCCGUAUAUGAAAGUGUUGCCACGACUGUUACAUCUGAUAAUAACUCAUAACAUUUUACCCAAAGCCGGAAGUAUCACUUCCGUUAGUGCAUUAGAAAGAGUUAUAUUGUGACAUAUGUUACACAAACAACCCGUCAACAUAGGCAAUUUGAUCAUUGCAACGAUGCUCAACAGGAUUAGGAAGAUUAAGAGCAGGGAGAAUAAGAGAACACAUCUCCCUUUUGGUAUGUUGCUGACCAGGCUCUUUAGGCGCUUUAAUGUGCCAUUCUUGGCUGACCACGUUGACAAAGGAUUUUAUGCCCAAAAAAUAGAAGUAUCGUACUUCAAAAAACUGGCAUUCAAAGCUGAAGAUGGUGGUGGAUGUGGAAGAAAUCCUAUACCUCUUAUGCUGUCAUUGGUCAGACUGGGGACGCGAAUAGAAAAGUUGAAGAAAUAAAAGAGAUGGAUAAGGGGGGAAGUGUGCUGGGGUAGAGGUGAGGCCGGUUGUGGGAGAAAAGGCACACCUUGUAGAUGUUGUCUUACUAUCUGAACAAACCAGAAAAGGGGCAAGUGUAUGUGACAAUGUUAUUUUACUCCUUUUUGUUUCUUCUUCUCGAUGGCAACACAGGAGCAUAACCCAAUAUUUGUAUGACUAGGUUGUGGAUAAAGUGACACAAAUUUUACAACGGGUUGGUGCCAGCGAAGUGAAGGACUGCAGAUUUGAGGAAUUGCCAUUUCUACGAGAUGUAAGACAUGCUCUUGCGCUCUCCUGUAAUCCCCUUUAUAUAUGCUAAUACCUUUAUUGUCCAGUGUCUACCACAAGCGUCCGGCGUAGCACCUGAUGAAUUGAAAGAAGCCGUAUGCUUUCAUGUCAGACAACUCGUCCGCAGAUGUAUGUUAAAAUAUCGGUACUGUCAAUGGCUAACACUGAUCUCGCUUUCAUCUGUUUAUUGUACUCAUGUCAAUCAUUGUUCACAGCUGUGUCAAUACACUAGAUAGGCAGCAUCUCUUUGAUAUUACAAGAGAAGAACUGAGCAAGUGAUGCUUCUGGAGACAUGUCUCAGUGACAGAGUAAGUUUUUUAUGCGAUUGCACAGGCCUACCUUGUUCACUAAUCUCGCUAAAAAUAAUAACUCAAUGUUGAAUGUUUGAAUUUGUUCCAUUCUGUGAAGGUUGUGACCCAGUACCUUCACUUACUCCAGAAAGAAUAUAAGCAAUUUGUUUUCUUCAAUCCUAUGUUUUGGGUACGUAACGAAAAUUAUUGUAUGUGCUGUUGUGUCUUGCAAAUGUGGACCUAAUACUUGCUUCUCAAUCACUUCGUUGUAGCUGAAAUGCGUGUUAGACUAUCCAUGCAUAUCUCCCGCAACCAAAAAAUUCGUUGAUCAGAGCAAUGACGACUCCAUGACAAAUCCUGAAAAGGUAAACAUUAGCUAUCAUUCUCGCCUUUACAUUCUUAUACAAUAUGAGUAGCAGCUGCAUGUUAGUGGAAUUGGAUUCAGCCUAACAUGGCCUUAGCUUUUAACACAUUCAACAUUGCUUGUUGUAUGCGAUUGCAGAUUUUUUUCCCAAUCGUUUAUUCAAAUCAUUGGUUGCUCAUGAUUGCACAUGUCAAGGACAAACAAGUGUACAUUGUUGAUUCUAUAGACAAUUACAAAACCUUCUACCAAGGUUUGAUGCAAUCUAUGGUGAGUAAACUUCAAAAGCGUACCUUAGCUUCAUUUCCGAAGAAGGUAACAUAUUUCUAACAUUCGAUACUUGCUAUAUUUAUUUCCUUUUUUAGGAAUGGAUUUUGAUGAAAAUUUUCCACGAAAAUCAACCCUGGACAUUUAAUCUUGUAAAACACAAACUAAAACAGAGACAGGCGAGUUGCGGGGUUUUCACUUUGAAGUUUGCGCAAUGUUGGGCAAAGGGUGUCGGCCACAAUUUGUAAGUGCACAAAUGGACAACCCCUUGUGGCAAGCUCACUCUAUUGCGUCUGACAUUGUUUCUGAAUGUAUGUACAGCUUGAUGUUGUCAUUGCUAGAAAAUUUAUUGCCUGGGAGAUCGCUUUGGGGAAACUUGCGGACCCGUUCGCUUAUGCUGCUUGCCUGAUAGAAAAUAAACAGGCACAUGAGGCUGUAACCAGAGGAGAUUUGCAAGAUGAUGCUACUAAGGAUGUGGGGCAUCAGGAAACAGGGAACGGUACAUUAUGUCUCGCCUUUACUGUAAUUGGUUCGUUGCAUAUGAAGGCAAUAUUAAAUUUUAAAUUCUUUAGGGCUGUAGCAAAUUAUUGGUACGAAAUUAAUCAUUGUAUAAAGAAACAUAAAAAGUGUAUGUACCUCUGUGCCAAUGUAUCUCCUCGUGACCAUUGCAUUCACAAAUUGCUUUUCUACUCCAGUAUUCCAUUAUUGCAGGGCUGCUGCUCACAAAUUUGUCAUAAAUUCUCGACCACAGAACUUUGCUUUACACUUUCAAUUCCUCUUGUUUGAUUUCGCAUUAUGACAUUCAAAUUGGAUCUCACAUGCAAAAUUCAUGUGCUGAAAUGCUGUAUGCCUUCAAUUUUUCCCCAGCCGAGGUACAAGGGUGAAAACAAGCCCGCCAGAACUUGCAUCCGCCAAUGAUUCAAAGAAGAAGUUCUUAUUCUUGAUUUGAAUGGAGUGCUUCUGGGCAGUGCAUUUACAAGGAUGACCAGAAAUCGGGACUUUAAUUUCAGACCACGUUGCUUUGAAGUUUUGCAGGUCUGUCUGUCAUAUUUUGAGGUGGCUGUUUGGUCAUCAAAGCUAAGGUAUCCGCCAACCUAUAUUUGAAUUACUUCAUUAACUAGAACGUCCACAAGUUUUUCUGUUAUGUUCUGAAUUCAAGACAGUUGUGCUUUCUGCAGCCACAACAUUCAACCAGUGUUGGACAGUCUAUCCAAAAAAAUGAAUGAACGUUUGGAGCAGAGACUGUUAUUUGUUUGGGUGAGAUGUCAUUCAUAAAUUACUUCGAUUGUGUGUAGUCAGUCCAUGUGUAAGACUUCUGAUAAAUGAAAGUCGGAAACAAUCAAUAUUGCGCAGGAUCAGUCGCGGUGCACUAUGACACAAACCAGCCUUAGGGAAAAUCCAGACAAACCGGUGAUGUUUAAGGACCUGAAACAUGUGUGGGGAGAAUAUAAGUCGUACAACAACUCUAACACGAUAUUAGUCGAUGAUUCUCCGUAUAAAUCCUUCCUUAAUUCUGUAAGUGCCCAUACCCACUGAUCGUUAUGUUGUAUAUGUUCCGUAUGCACAAACAACAUGAUCAGGGCUAACUGUUUCCAUAUUACUCAUUCUUCAGCCGUACAAUGCCAUCUUCCCCACCUCUUAUACAUGUUACACUGUAGAAGACAAUUAUUUGGGUAAGACGCGGUUCGUGAUGCAUUGAAAUGUGGCUUUUGCUACGGUAAGCACAGGGUGAAAGAUUGGCCUGACACAAAACUUAUUUGCAGAUCCUGAAGGAGAUUUUGUACGACACCUGAAGAUUGGCCAGUGCUGAUAAUGUACAAGAUUUCAUUAAGCGAAACCGUUUUGGACAAUCACCCGUAACAGAAGGCAGUGUGGAGUGAAACUUUUAUGUUAAUGUUGUCAGCAAGCUUGGACUGCAGAACACAGCAAAGCAAGUGACGCGCAAACGGGAAGCCCCAAACAGAUAUUAUCCGGAGGUAUCCAUUGCAUUCAUGUUCAGGAAUAUGUUCACAAUAGUUCAACACCUCGUUAUGAUAGCUAAAAUUGCGUCUGGUCAUAUGCACAGACCAAGAAAAAAGGAAAAUUUGAAAGCAUGAGGAAGAUCAGUGUUCACUAUACGGAAGCUUCUCCAAACCAUUGGAGUAGAGAACCUCUCUUCUGAUGGGACACACAAGCAAAACUUUUGUGCUUUAGUGAGACACUGGGCCUGUCUAAUUCAUAUAUGUUGGUACUACUUUCUUCCCUUACUUGUGUUUUUUGUUUGCAAAGGCCCGUCGCUGAGUUUUUUUAUGCAAAUUCUAAAAAUGUCGAAGUUUGGAAUGACGUAUGUUGUCUGCAGGUUUCGGAAUGCACAUGAGGAAAAAUUAUCAGAUAAUGCCUGUAAUUGCUGUCAAAUGCAGGAUGCGUCAGCCAUAUACUCCUGCUACAAACGUUGGCAUCUUGAACUAUUUGCCCAAUUUUACUCAAAUGUUAACCUUCACCUCCUUGAGAUUCCACAUACAUAUUUAUAAAUGUAUAUUAUAUGUGCAUUUAUAUUUAUAAUAUAUAUGUGUAUGUAGUAAUAAUAUAUUAUAUAAUUAUACUUAUAUUUGUUAUUACAAAUAUACUAAUAUAUACUAAAAAUUAUACUUAUUAAUAUAUAAUAUUCUCUAUAAUUAUCAAAAAUAUUAGUACAACUAUACAAUGUAUUAUAUAAAUAUAUAUUAUAAUUAUUUAUAUAAAUAAAUUUACUAAUUCUAAAUUUUUUGGGAUAAUUUCAUAAACCAAAUCGCGGUCACUUCUGUAAUGUAUCACUUUCCAUAAAAGACCAGCUCUUUAUGACCUUCCUCCAUUAUAUUCGCAAAGCACCCAUUUUUCCAUUAAUAGAUUUAUUUAUCGAUAAAAUAUAUAAUAACUCGUUUUCCAAUAAAACCCAGCUGUUUAUGGCUUUUCUCCAAUAUAAGAACAGAGUACCCUUUUCCAUAAAAAAUUUAUUUAUCGAAUAAAAUUAAAAUAAAUCAGUUGUCUACUAAAACACCAGCUCUUUAUGGCUUUCCUCAAAAUGAGUAAACAGAGUACCCAUUUUCCCAUACGCUAAUUCAGGGGAGGUUUGUGAAAUUAUCCGUAUAAUAUAUAUGUGUAUAUAAUAUUAAUAAAUUAUAUAAUUAUAAUUAUAUAAAAUAUUAGUUAUGGGUGAAGAACGGAACAAGAGAAUUACGGGUGAAUUAUAGGUGAAGAACGGAAAAUAUUAGUUAUUGGUGAAUUAUGGGUGAAGAACGGAAGAAAGCCCAGUUUUCUGAUUUCUCAACAUGCUGGAAGUUGAGACAGUACAUGACACAGGGAGCUUUGCAGUGCAUUUACAAAUUUAUUUUAGGAUAUAGUGGGAAUAAUGAAUUCUUGUAUCGGACGACAAAAUAUAGUUAAAGGCGUUGUCGAAUACAAAUUCAUUUAUCGAAAAGCGAAAAAAUACACCCGUUGUUCAUAAAAAGGGUUUCUUCCGUUAAACUGACACAGUCCCAACGUGCAUCAAAUAGAAAUGUUUAUCGGAUGAAAUAUAGUUAAAGCGUUGUUGAAUAAAGAUCAGCUUCUUUAUGGCUUGCGACCGUGUUACACUGAGAAAGUAUCCAGGGGCCUUAAACACAGAUGUAUUUACCGGCUGAAAUGUACUUAAACCGUUGUCGAAUACAAGAGCAGCUCUUUAUGGCUUUCUCCGUUUUAAGUACGAGGUAACCAUUUUCCGUUAAACAAAUAUUCAUUUAUCGGCUACGUGUAAAUUAAACCCCUUUUCCAAUAAAACCCGGCUCUUUAUCGAUUUCCUCCACUAUCACAACAGAGUACCAAUAUCCAUACUUACUAAUUCACUUAUCGGAUAAAAAUGUAUGGCUAAUUUAUUUGUUCGAUAAAAUCGGAUCGAUAUUAUACUUGAGUGUCAUUUACCCUUUAGCAUAGAAUGCAAGCAAGAAACUAACCUAUUGCAGGUUUAAACUCCGUGUUAAGACAAAUUGUUUCGAAUACGUCAAGACACCUAAUUCAUAAACUCUCGCGAAACAUAAAUUUAAACGCGUUAAUUUUAAUUACCACAAAUCAAAUAUUUCAAUCCUUUUUCAUUUAUUUCUAAUGACUGCAUACCAUGGAGCACUGUACUAGUCAUAACCAACCACAAAUCUUCUCUUAACUCUCGACCACAUGAAGAUUGUGGUACUCGUUAUCCCAUGCCAAGGUCUCCCACACCACCGCCGCGAGUUUGCUCGGUUGAACUUUGCUUUCCUUCCUCUAAUGAAACUCAUAGAUACACACCAACCGCUUGCCUUACUAUGGCAGUUUUUUGGACUCUCUGUCUCGUCUUCUACAUUUUAGGCUACGACGACGUCCAUCCGACUAUGACAGCCCCUAUUACAUGGCCCUUUCCACAAAAUGCCGCUACUUUGUUUCUUAUCUUGCCACCUUCAUCCAACCUCAACUUUAUUCAUCUCCAACCUCCUGUGCGUGUUCGCUUUCCGCAUAAUUUGAUGACGGACAACGUUGGCAUCAUCCAGAACCAAAGACAGUGCUAUUUUUGCGCCGCUCCUGCUCCGAAUUGUACUGCACCGAUAAAUUUGUUACUAUCUCCAUCGUUCGCAACCAAUGCAAGCAACACACUUACUGUUAAAGCACACGACGCCAUUCCUUUUUCCUUACCUGAUUCCAUUUCCAGCUUCAAUUCCACUUGAUAACAUAUCCAUGUACUUCAGCAUGAAUAACCCACAAUCCCACCUGCAUUACAAACCAUAACCACAAAUUUAGACAACCGUUGCUGAACUAUGAAAAAACUUCCAAACCUAUGCACAUGCAACUUACGCAUUCCGUUGCUGUGGACAUGUGGCUGCAGCUUUUAUUUUGUACAGCCAAAGGCAUGACGAAUACUGCCCCUCCAAACCAUAAGUCAGCGCUGCUUCCAACCUUUCAAUCUGAGGGCCAUACAAGAAAAACAUAUGCAAUUUUAAGUUUACUGCCACCAAUUGUAAAGGUGAUGGUCGUGUUCAUGAAAUGUUUGACAAACCAACUUAGUUUACCAUGUCUCCACGGAGCUGCGCCUAUUCAUAUCCGUUUGCUCGUGUCCUCUCAUUGAAUCAUAAAUUAAUACUUCUUCGCUUCCCAUGUCCACCACACACAUAUACCAAUGCUCGUCGUGCCACAUUGGCACGAAUAUCUGAAGCAUAGCAGCGGUUAGUUAGUCAUCAUCAUGGGAAUCUGUAUCUAUUCCAUUAUGCUACAUAACAGGGCAGCUUCUCGUACCUUCUCACACUUUUUUAUAUUACCUCCUACUUUACAUUCCUGUAGAUAUGUACAGUACAGCUCGUCUGCUGAUUUGUUGAACUCCAAAAUCUCUUGCUACAACACGACAGUAAAAUAUGACAUUUUAAUAUGAAUGUACGUACUCACUCCCCCCAACUUUGGCCGAACACUUGUACCUGAAACCAAGUUGGCAUGAACCACCAUCGCAUUGACUGAUCUACAGCACGCCUUUGCUGCCUUGCUGUUUUCAUCGCACAAUAGCAAUUGAUUAUCUGCACCAAACUCAAGUCACAUCACUUCGUCCUCCAUGAAACAGUCCACAUAACACCACCCAAUUUCAAUCCCUCGAUUUACUCACAUCACAUGCCAUGGGUUUUUCAGGAAGCAAGGACCCCAUUGCAUCCCGACUUGCUGUCUGCCCCUUAAUUGACACCAGUACUUCCCUGUCAUUACAACAGGUACAUUAAUCUUUUCCCUAUGUGUAUUACGGUUUCAUAAUCUACAAACUUGAUAUCAUCAUUUUCAAUGACUCGAGUUAAAACGGCCAGAGUAGGUUGCUCUUCCUCACUAAUACAACCAGCAAUCACGGUUUCAAUGACUCAAUCGUUCCUUAGGGUCAUUGAGUUAGCCUAAGGCGGUUAUGUACUCACCAUAAGGGUCAUUGAGUUAUCAUUGUAGUUCCAUUCUCAAACUUCUGGAAUACUCAUUUUAUUCUAUAUGCAAGCAUGUUACCUACCCUUGCUUUUUAUAUAAGCAAGCAUGAUUGACAGCACACAAAUUGUAAGUUUUAUGCUCACUUGUAAACCAAUUUUAACUGCUUCCAAGAUUUUCGUUCCUAUGCCCUCUCCCCUAUGGGGAUAAUCAUACUACAUAUUUAGUCAACCUUAUAAUUGCAAAUACUUUUCUGUCCCCUUUCCCAUUGCAAUUUCAAAUAAGGAUAAAACAAAAUAGAACUGUUGAUUUAACAAAUCCAUGAUCCAGUACAUACCCUUGCGACAGCUGAGUGUCAAACAAGAACUUCAGUAUUUUUGCUCGUCCCUCACUCAAUUUUUCGCCGAUAGAUGCCAGCCUCGUUUCCUGCUACCACAAAAAUAUGUCAUCUUUCAUUGUCUAUAAUUUCCCAUACUUCAGUAAUUCUGGAACGUUGGAAUACUCACCUUUGCCAAUAAAGCAACCAUCUUCGUUUGACACUUGUUCAUCCCACUGCUAUCCAUCUGUACAUAAAACUACAAUUUAUACUUUACUUUUCUAAUGCUAGAAAUACCUUGGCACAAACCGAUGCAUACCUUUAUUCUUUUACCUUGCCUUCUGUUUUGUUUAUCUUCCCACACAGGCUUCUCCGUAUUGUCCAUCCUUAGUCUCUUUCUACUCCUCCACUUUGUAAUUUUCGAUGCACUCUUUUCACCCAUUACAGUACUAUUCGUAGUGACUCUAUCAUUUUCACUCCUGCUUUUGGACCUAACAUCUGGCGUUGUAGGACUAAAUUUAUGUAACUCACUCCCUCUUUUAACAUUACGCGCCAAUCGUCCUUCUGCCCACCCUCCACACCAAGUGCCCGGUUUGUUUUGCACACCCUUCCACUUUCAUACAUGCUCCUCAGCCUUUCAAAACGACAUUCAAUCAUUGCUUCCAUUCUACCAAUACUAUCCUUCACAUCUUUAUUACCACAUUCAAUUUCAAUCAGUUUCUUCAAUGUCUUCUCUACAGCUUAUGUUAUUGUAAAACUGCACAUUGCCCUGUCACUACAAGCCUUCAGUUUUGUACUACUAGUAACGUCACAAAAUGCAGAUUGCAAUUUCAACAACAAUUCACACGAAAGGAUUUUACAUUACCUGUUCCCCCUCAAAUAUGUGAUUCCUCCUCAAUAUUCGCACGCUUUCAUUAAUCUCGUACCUUCCCCAAAAUCUUAGCCUCGGCCCUCUCGGCUGGAACUUGCGAAACUCGUCCUCACCCUCGAUAUAGAAUCGUUCCAGAUAGUAAAUCUGCAGGGACAAAAACGCCUACCAUCAUUUACGGGUCUUUUCUAUCAAAGUUUAAUUUCAUUAUUCCAGCAAUUCCUAUCUCUAAUACAAAAUGGUGCGUCUUUCUUAUACCAUCAAGAAAAGUGCACAUCCCGCUAUUCCGUUGCCGUCUCUAUCACGGAUGCUCUUCACCAAAUUGUCAAGUAUGAAUUUCGACCAGUUCAAAUUUUCAUAUUCUCCGCUGUAGCCACUACAGCCACCAGAUCCCGGCUCACUGUGUCAUCCAAACUUGGUGCUAACAACCUACCAACAACAAACAGUACGAACUUCACUUUGAAUUCUAAGCCUUCGUUAUGCAAACUACAUAUACUAUGCCUCAAUUCCUCCACUACAAUUUCACCGCUAUUUAUUCUGAUAUUCAAUUCUCUUUCCAACUCUGUAUCCAUCUCUUGCCUUCGCUUUUCGCUUUCAAUAUCUUUCCCACGGCUGCUCAAGCCAAGUACACAUUCCACAUCCUCGCUGUCACCUGUAGACAGUGCCCAUGAACGUUCAGUGUCCUCCGAUCUACAUCAAAGUUAUCCACCAGCCACUUCAACAUCUCUUCGUCAACCUCUACUCCCUUCACAUUCAAAAUUGACCCGAAUCCAAACUCUCUGACAGCCUGCCGCUGCUCAUCCGAGAUCCAAUCCACCAUAUUCUUCACAGAAUGAGUUGAGUGGCUUACCAUUGUUUCCGCCGUCCGACGAAUGGCCUUCCUUUCACUGCUGCAACUUUUAUAAUUCGAAGGUGUUCCUCUCUCAUGCAUCAGCGAUACUACCAUUGUUUCCGCGUCCGACGAAUGGCCUUCGUUUCACUGCUGCAACUUCUAUAAUUGAAGGUGUUCCACUCUCAUGCAUCAGCGAUACUACAUUUUCGCUUUCUCCUUCACUGUCCCACUGCAUAUCCGAAGCAUCUAUUUCGGCUGCCAGCUCCAUAACAAAUCCCUAUCUCUGCUAUUCCGCUUGCUCCGGUUUUGGCGCUUCUUCCUUUCUAAUACGCCUACACUGUUUAGCUUAUCCAGUAAGCUUCGCGCCUUUUUUCCCUGCCGUACUUUCGCGUACAAACCCUCACUUUUUCGAUUGCUUAAUUUCGCCCCCUCCACAUUUCACAUGCGCGGUUGGAGUCCCCUUCAACGCCCAAUACAUCUUCCGGUUGCACAUCACAAAAUCCCUUUCCACGUGCCCGGCCAACACACUUCCCCUAUCGUUUGUGGCCCGAAAUGCUUGAAUGUCUUUUCGCUUAACUUUCCACACCUCUGUUUUGACAUCUAAACAUACCGCAGCAACAUCCCAUGUUGAAUGCUUAGAGCUUUUCUUUUCUUUCCUCGUAUGUCGUUUGUAGUGAGACAGAGGGUCACUUCGUGUGACUUUGCUAUUUUCUCCUGAUUGGAACGGAUUGAAUUCUCAAAUAUCAAUGACAAUGGCCGCAGCUUUAUCUUCAAUUUCGUGUGGGUUUUUCGCACCAAACAUGAACUAAUCUCUCCACUCUAGUCAAAGGACAACGGAGGCUCUGGUUCGCCUAAAAAUUGUGAGAUCGAUUUAAUUUAAUCUUUUUUAUUUAUUUAUUGGUAUUCGCAUAUCCCUUGAUUGCUAUGCUUAUGGUUAUUUAAUUAAUUGAUUGUCUUGGAUCCGGAUAAUUAAUUGAUUUGGUAACCUAUUGUCAAUUAGGGCAUUAAAUCCAUAAUUGUUUAAUUGCCCUGAAAUAAUGACAACUGGCACGACUAGAUUCGUGUCAGGGGGAUACGCGAGCUAAUUUGAAAUAACCCUGGUAGUGCGUUAUUUGGUUAGAAUAGGGCUCCUCUAAUACGUAAUGCAAUUGAAAAAUUAAAUCUUAUGGGUCUACCUAGGAUUAUUUCUUAAUUAGAGCAGUGAUUAACGGGCGUACCUUGAUCACCGACACAGUAAGGAGGGGUUGACUGUCAUCGCUUGUUUGGCAGUUAUAACCUAUUUAUCAGUAAAUAAUUGGAAUUGGUUUUGCAUCAAUGAUCAAUUAGGUGAACCAUUGCUGAAGUUAUUCCUUGGCUAGAUCCUUAGUUAUCACUCAUUAGAUUUUAGUAAAUUGUUAUUUAAUUUCUAGUUGGCUAUUUUAUUUUUAUUAUUUUACUUUUAGUUGAAUUGUUUAAAUUAUCACCCCUGAUAUAAAAACACCCCCAUUGUCACUGUGAAUUUGGAAAGGAACAAGUACUCCCAAUCCCUGUGGAUUCGACCCUACUUACCACUAUCUACAGAAAUUACUUUUAGUUUGAGCAGGUUUUAUUAUUACGCAGGCUUUGACAACCUGUCAGAAAUUUCAAGUGAAAUGAUUUUAAAACCUUUUGAAGCAUUUACAUUUGUCUACUUCUUGGAAGUUAUGGUACUCUGUAGUUUGCAAACUAAGACGCAUAUAAAAUGGACUUGCUUACGUUCGUUAUCUUCUAACUCAAAAUUUUCAGAUUCUGUGGAUAUUUCUAUACAUUUGUUAGGGACAAUCCAAUGAGAUUUCUGGUACCCGUAAUCAGCAUGAUCGCUAAAAACCAUGAAUGAAUGAGUUUUGGAGGAUCAAAUGCAACGGGUACGUGUUCGAAUUAUCUUUGUCCCUCAAUAGUUUUUUUUUUUUUUAUUAUUGGUAUAGGGAAAAGUUGGGUGGGUUCGAUACCAAUUACCAGUUAAAGUAUGCUUGUGGCAUCAUAAAACACUUGCAAGAAUUCUUACAAAUUGUUCACCAAUACACUUUUUACAUCUGUAAUAGAAUUCGUGGGUUACAAUGUGAUUCAACUUUUUGUCUCAGCCAAGCAGUUGCUUGACACAGCCAUCCUUGGUAAAUUUGGUUUAAAAAGUUGACAUUAAAAAAAAAAAAUUGGUAUCCAAUUUUCUUUUAAAUUGUCUGAAUUUUGACAUUGUCCUUUUUUUUGCCACAACAUAACAUUUUUAUAAUUUAAUUCAUCCUAUCUAUCUAUAAGGAGAGGAAGGCUGUUUGAAUUUUGACAUUAUUCACUUUUCAUUUUUUUUUCUGUGUAUUUAUUACGUAAUGCUGAUUGUAUCCGACAAUCUACAAUACAAGUCAAGAUAACGACUUCUGAAUAAAGUUGAAUCUUUCGUUAGAAAAGAGCGACCCAAAGCAAAAUAUCUUCUUUUCUUUUCUUUUCUUUUUUUUUUUUUUUUUUUAGGAAUGCAAAGCAUCUUUCGAGAAACGAAAGCCACAAAAGUGUAAAGUCUAUCUUUAUGCAUCCUAAUGAAUCUUCAUCAUGUGUCUAGAAAAGGGCUUCAAACGCAAAUACAUAAACAAAACAAAACAAAACGCUAUGGACGGUUGGUCCGCCACGGAAGGACAGUCUAUCAAUUACCUUGGUAGACCCAAAUUUAAAAAAUCUGGCAGAAUCUAGAUCAUUGGGCAUUUAAAAAUCGAUUUACUCGUGUGAGCCAUCGCAGAGUACAAGUGUGAGCCAUUACGGAGUUGUGAGGUCAACCUUGAAAAAAUUCAUAAAGCAAACAAGGAAAGUUUUGAAAAUUAUAAGCUGGUCAUGCAUUUACACUCCCUCAAAUUUCUUGGAUUUCCUUUCUCCUUUAUAUAGUCCCUCUAACUUUCAAAGUAAUUGCAUUUAUUGCCUUCUUGAACGUGAAUUCAUUCAAAAUGAUAUUAUAUGUUAUUUAAAUCAAAUAAAGAAUCUUCAAACUUAGUAAGAAAAUUUUUGCCUUAGAUGAUAAUGUAAUGUAUAUUAAAGUAAUUGCCCCUAACCUUUGGAUCUUGAUUUCACCGUUGCCUCUGUGAAGAAUAUACUAUAUGUACACAUAUAUUGUAUAACAAAAUAUAUGUAUUUAUUAUAGAAGUACACAUAAUAUUUGUGCCGUGAGCGUUGCGAGAAAUGUGAUAGAAACAUCACCAAGUGCAAUUGCAAUAUGAGACUCUUAGAGGCACCUGGUGAAGAUCGAUCUACCUUUUGUCAAAUUUUGUUCACAAAAUGUACAAUUACCAUAAUUGUUCAAGGGUCAAAUUUGGCCAAGAAAACAAAAACUUAAUUAAGAAAUCGCACAGUUUGUUUGUAAAGAACUAUUUAAAAAUCUGUAUGCUGUCCAAUAGUGGAACCACUGCCCCAAAACUCCCGGGUGACAAUGUGAAAUCUGAAGGCACUACGCACCCAGAGCCAGAAGACGCAUAAAGAAGCCAAAUGAAGCAACAAGAUGAUACUAGUCAAUAGAAUUGCUCAAGUACAAAAGUGAAUGAGAAAACACAGGGCGAGCACUUGAACCUUAUUUUGUUCUUUUUCUUUUUCUGUUUUUUGGACAGACUGCACAUGAAAUUGGGUAAGAAUGAUAAUUAUCUUUGAAUUGACGUGUCCUAAUGUCGCUCUAUGUUACCUAAAAUCUGAACCAGAACUAAAUUUUCUGGACUUUCUGUUGAUUUAUUUAGCCCGCACGGCAUUCGGCGUCGCACUCCUCCUUGAAACAACGUUGAAUUUGGGUGUAGUGUGGGAGGAUGAUAUGAAUUUUUGCUGCGUAGCAAUUUUGGAAGUAUAUUUAUACUUUUACAUUUUCUAAGAAGGAAUAUCUUGGAAACAUUAGAAAAUAAAAGACUGUCUAUACCAGAUAAGCAUCAGCACUAAAUUGCCAAAACUUUGCAGUUUUUGUACUAAAAUCUAGAAUCCCUUUAGAAGGCAAUUGGGAAAAAAAAAAAAGAAACAUAAAUAUAACCAAUAAUAUUUUGGAAAAAACUGCUUUCAAGUUCAAGAUGAUUUUAAAUUUAAAAAGCAGAAAGACAAUGACAUUCUUAGUGGAAUGCUUACUAGUUUUCCUAUUUUUUUGGGCAAAUUAUAUUUUACCCCCCUGUGGUUUACCCUUUUUUUACAUAACCCCUAUGAUUUCAAAAACUAUACAUAAUCGCCUCAUAGUUUGGAUUAAAGUGUCAAAGUAACGGAAAUAGUCACUCGUAAUAGAACUUCUAAAAAUGUCGAAAUUACUCUUAUAAAUACAUGACACAUUUACCCCGUAUGAUUUUUAUAUUUUACCAUAUAACUCCCUUAUAGUUUAAUAAUUUACCAUAUAACCCCCUUAUGAUUUUCAAAAUAUACACAUAACCCCCCCCCCGAUUAAUACAUAAAUUUCAACUUUACAUAAGGGUAUUUUUGACAUUUUAGGUGACGCCGUUAUGAAUGAUCAUUCCCGUCACUUUGAUACUUUAUUCCAAACCAUAAGGGGAUUAUGUAUAACUUUUGAAACCAUAGGGGGUUAUGUAAAAAAAAUGCUAAAUCACAGGGGGGUAAAGUGAAAUUUGCCCUAUUUUUUUUAGUAGCUUUUGGAGUUAAAAUGGACUAAGCUAUUCAGAUGGUCCUUAUUAUCCCCCUUCUGAGAAAGGAAAAGGAAAACUAUUAGCAAGAGACGAGUCAUUAAGCAGUUAUCAUUUUGGCAUCCAAUUUGUCAUUUUCCACAUUAAUCCUCACAGAAAGCAAAUUUGAAAUUUUACCAUAUACCAUACACCUAAUCUACCAUAUAUAUACAUAUACUAACAAUUAUUGUCCUCCAUUCCAUUUAUAUAUUUUCUCUAUUUAAUCUUGCCUAUUUUCUUUCUCUAUUUAAUCUUACCUAUUUUCUUUUGUAUUUAUUUACUUUCCCUAAUUAAUCUUACAUUCCUAAAAAUAUGUUAUCUGAAAUAUAUCUUAACAAAUACCCUAUAAGUAUCCAUUAGAUAGACCUCAAAAACAGAAAAGAAAGAAAAACUAUAAUCGUUUAAGGGCAAAAUGUUGUAAUGGCUCUCAAACUAUUACAAAAUUUAACUUUUGACCAUCCAACUAUUAAUUAAUAAGUUUUAGUCCUCCAACUAAUUAAAACAUGUAAUCAUAAACCUUCCAUCAACUUAAAUCGUUAUAUUUAAUAGAAAUAGCACGAUAUGCACAAUAGUAGCGCUCAAACUAUUAUAAAGUUCAACUUUUGACCCUCCAAUUAUUAAAUUAUAAUUUUUCCCCUCUAACUAAUUAAAGUGUAUAAUCUUAAGGGAAAAUCGCCAAUUUAGUCCUUAAAGUAUUUUACUAAAGCUGAUUUGGUCCCUCAACAUUUUAUCGCACGAAUUAAGUCCCUUAACUAAAAUUCUUGUGCCAAUUAAGGACCUAUAUGGUGUUGCCAUCCAAAACACAUGUAUCUGUACAGAAACAAAUGGCGAGGCAUGGGCUUUUUUGGAAGUACACAAUAGAAUUUCUACGGGAAGCAAAGACAUAACCCAUUUCGCAUCCAAAUUGGGGGAAACCUGUGAAAUUAGGGGUUUCCAAGACUGAACCCAUUUUGCAUCCAAAUAGCGGAAGAAAUUAGGGGUUUUCCACCGAUGCAAAUUGCCAGCAAUGGAGGGAGAUUUUUGCACAUGAAACUUGAGAAAGGACUUAAGGGUUGAACAGACUAAAAAAUACAUAACAAUAAACUCAACCAUAAGGUCAUCAGCCCAAGUUUCUACAGGACUUGCAUUUCUAUGAGUAUAUCUGCCAAACAAACAUCCAACAUAAGAUUGACAUACAUGAUUGCAUAAAAGCUUAUUAAUACCUUCAACCAGCUAGAAACCAACUCAUUUUACAGGCUAAUAAGCUUUUCAAAUGAUACUUGGACUCACAAAGAUUAGAAAAAAGAUCAAGAAUCCAUGAACUCAUAGUAUUAUCACUUUUCUUCCAAGAAAUUAAUAGUACAACAUAAACUAGUAAACAAAAGGGAUAAAUUUGUACCUUACUUUAUUCGUGUAUCCAGUGUACAUCUGUACAAAGGUUUUCACCAUCAUGAGUUCCUCUAGUUUUGCCUUUUGCCCGUAAUAGAAUAUGCAGACUCCAACUAUAAACAAUGCAUGCGCUCAAGGGUGCUCGCAUUGCAGCAAAGUAAGUGACGAAAAAAGCAUCGUGGACGCAUAAAUUGGAUGGCGGACAAACCGCUAUGGCCCAAACAGCACAACAGCAGUCGGCACAACUACCUUCUCUGAAUACUUUGCCAAAUGCAACGUGGAGUGGUACUGCAUAAACAAUGUCAACAUUUAUCAAAAUCCAAAUGCCCAAAUUACUCCAGCCACCAGGAACAAGAUGUAAUUCUGGCCCCUCAAAUGCUGCAAACCAAUGGCCAACCAUCACUCCAACACAGAACAAGAGUUUUUGCCACUUGGGCAGGGUAAUAUCCCACACGGGAUCAUGCUCUCUGGGAUAAUAAUCACCAUACAACCGCUUUCGGACACUCACAUUGAAGAAAAAGAAGUAGUGGUAAACAAAGAAAAACACAAUAGGCCAUCCUUCGAGAAAACCAUUGAAAUGUGCUGGGGGUACUAAAGUGAGCCAAGUAAAUGCUGCAGUAACAAUUGAAAGCUGCUGAAAAGCAUUGGCAUUGCCGUGUAAAUGCCGGUAAAAGCAGUAAAGACCGUAAAUUGCAAGACUAAUAGCUACCAUCCAAGGCCAAAACAACCAAGUCCAGCUAAAAUAUAUCCAGAAGAAAGGGCUGAAUAGCACAUUGAUCGUCCACUUUCAGGCUGCAACUGCAAUGGAGGAAGCCAAAGACCAUUUGCAUACCUCGAAUGGGGUUAAAUUUAAAAGGGUCGAUUUUAGUGACUCGAAAGAAACGUUUCUGAGGGCUAUUAUGACUGGGUUCGGAGAGUCUGGGCUUGUUUUUACAUCAAAAUAGGGAAAAUCGCCAAUUUUUUGGAAAACCCCUAAUUUCACAGGUUUCCCCCAAUUUAGAUGCGAAAUGGGUUCUGUCUUUGCUUCCCGUAGAAAUUUUAUUGUGUACUUCCAAAAAAGACCCCUGCCUCGCCGUUUGUUUCUAUACAUAUACAUGUGUUUUGGGUGGCGACACCGUAUAGGUCCUCAACUGGCACAAGAAUUUUAGUUAAGGGACUUAAUUCGUGCGAUAAAAUGUUGAGGGACCAAAUCGACUUUAGUAAAAUAGUUUGAGGACUAAAUUGGCGAUUUUCCCUAAUCCUAAUCCUUUCAUCAACUUAAGUCAUUAUGUUGAACAAAAACACCACUACACAUGUGACGGGUGCAUAAUCGAGGGGCGUUUUCAUCUUCAUAGGAAAUGUGCUAGGCUAAAAUUGUUUUAUCCCCGUUUGACUCAUAAACUAAUUUACCAAAUCUCCAAUUGUUGAACUUGAGCAAAAUCAAUGAAAACCAAAACCCUAAAUAGAGAAAUUUCAGCAAGGAUAGGCAAUUUGAAGAAAUUGAGUUGCUUUCAUUCGGAAUUCAACUCAUUUUUCAAUGUUGUUCCAAAUUUACUAGGUUCAUGUGCUUCUCUUAAUGACAUAAAUUCGGCAUACAAUUCAUUUUUUUGGAAUAUUCCAACAACUUUUGGUCCCUUUUCAAGCUUGAACUCUCUAAAUCUUUCAAAUAAUCAAUUCUCAACUUCAUAUCACUACAUCAAACCAUUUUGAUUUGUCAAACAAUAGGUUAGUUGGGUACAUUCCAAAUUCUUUAUCAAUAAAUGUUUCUAUUCGACAUAAUGACUUAAGUUGAUGAAAGAGUUAAGGUUAUACAUUUUAAUUAGUUCAGGGGUUAAAACUUAUCAAUUAAUAAUUGGAGGAUCAAAAGUUAAAUUUUGUAAUAGUUUAAAGGCCAUCAAGGCAUUUUGCCUAUCUCCUGAACUCUGUUAGAUAUAAUGACUCAAGUUGAUGAAAAGGUUAAAAUUAUAUGUUUUAAUUAGUUUGAGGGAUAAUAAUUAGAGGGCAAAAAGUUAAAUUUUAUAAUAGUUUGAGGGCUAGCGGGACAUUUUGCCCAUAGUUUAAUGAUUUAGUAGUUUCCAUUUUGGCAACUAUUUCGUCAAUUUCAAACAUUAAUACUCAUAAAAAGCAAAUUUGAAAUUCUAUGGACUUAGAGCCUUCCAGAAUUUUGCCUACCAUACCAAUUAAUGUACUGCUGCUACAACAAUACAGCCAAAAGUAGAAGCAUCUCAAUUGAUUGAAGUACUCCGCUGAUUGCACUUCCAUCUCCAGCAGAGGAACUAGUCAACCAAUCUUCCGCUUAUGGGCUCUUCAGGAGAUAGUAGUUACAAGACCCUUCCACAAAAUGAGAAAAAACCAGUUUUAACACACACACAGUCUCAGGUGAGAAAGGAAGCUAGUGAUGAGCUAGAAAGGAUAUUGAGUAACACAGAGGUACCAUUUAUCAAGCGGGUGGUACCAGCAACAUGGAUAGAGAUCAAGCUUCUUGUUCACUUGGCUGCUCCCGCAGUCGUUGUUUACAUGAUAAACUACCUCAUGUCUAUGCUCACACAAAUCUUUUCUGGCCAUCUUGGAAAUCUUGAAUAUGCAGCUGCUUCCUUGGUAACAAUGGAGUUCAAACUUUUGCCUAUGGUCUCAUGGUACUCUUGAUCUUUCCUCACUUUAUUUAUUUAUUUGUUAAACAUUAAAAAGAUUUAUUCCAUGGUACAAUCCAAUUUCUUCUUCUUCUUCUUCUUCGUGGGACAUGAACUCCUACCGGUUACAUAAAGGAAGGAAAAAUGCCAAAGGGUACUCCCAAAUUGCAUUUUACUUGUUUAUGUACUUGUUUGCAUUUAGUGUCUAUGGUGGUGGGAAAUUUUCAAGGACCUUUUUCUUUAAAAUAAUGCAUCCAUAAAGAAAUCUUUUAUCGGUGUAUACCUGCUUUUUGGUCCAAGAAACCAAAAAUCCAAAAAUAGUAUUCCAGCUUUCCCUUGAUGAAUUUGUUGGUUCUUUGGCCUUUCUGGUGCACCAACUUUUUGCUUUUUCCUUUUACCCCUGGAAUUUGAAUGGUCUUUAUUUGGUAAUUUGUCUGAUAUUUUUGUCAUUUCUCUCAUGUUUCCUUCUUGAAGUCCAAUUGUAGUUAUAGAAAUUGUACAAUCCAUAACAUUUCUUUGUUUUUAAAACCUUACAUAGUUCAUUUUGAGACAGAGAAAGUAGAAAUUUUCCAGAUUAUAAUUCAAGUUUUGAUGAUCUGAUCCUCAUUUUUUUUUUGGGAAACAGCUGGGAAUGGGAAGUGCUGUUGAAACACUAUGUGGACAAGCAUAUGGAGCACGUAGGUACGGCAUGCUAGGCAUAUAUCUUCAAAGAUCAGCCAUCCUCCUAACUCUAACUGGAGUGUUACUUACAAUCAUAUACAUAUUUUCUAAGCCUAUUCUCUUAUUACUUGGUGAAGCACUAGACAUUGCAUCAGAAGCAGCAAUAUUCAUCUAUGGCUUAAUCCCUCAAAUAUUUGCCUAUACUGCCAACUUCCCUAUACAAAAAUUUCUCCAAGCACAGAGUAUUGUAGCCCCAAGUGCCUAUAUCUCUUUUGGAACACUAGCUUUUCAUGUCUUAUUCAGUUGGUGUACCCUGGUAUGCCGAUUUAGUGAAUUUCUUAGUGACUAAUCAAUUGCCUGCAGGGUGGCCAAAGGCUAAGAGAGACAAGUUGAAGAGUGAUGCUAAAUAUUACAUUUGGGACGACCCGUACCUUUGGAGACAAUGUUCGGAUCAAGUGCUCAAGAGGUGUGUAAGUGCAGGCGAAUUUCACUCUAUUUUAAAUUUCUGUCAUUCGUUUGCAUGUGGAGAGCAUUUUGGGCCCAAGCGAACAGCUCGCAAAGUGUUAGAGAGUGGCUUUUACUGGCCUACCCUGUUCAAAGAUGCUUAUUUAUUCUGUAAAUCCUGUGAUAGGUGUCAAAGGGUGGGAAAUAUUUUUCGUAGGGACCAAAUGCUUCAAACCCCCAUGUUGUUUGUUGAAAUUUUUGAUGUUUGGGGGAUAGAUUUUAUGGGUCCUUUUCCCUCAUCUUUUGGUUUCCUAUACAUUUUACUUGCUGUAGAUUAUGUCUCUAAAUGGGUGGAAGCCAAAACCACCCGUACUAAUGAUUCUAGAGUGGUUGCAGAGUUCUUAAAAUCUAAUAUCUUUGUCCGUUUUGGAAUGCCAAGAGCUGUAGUUAGUGAUAGAGGGACACAUUUCUGUAACAAGACUAUCACUGCCUUGUUUCGAAGAUACGGUGUACUCCAUAAGGUAUCCACACCGUAUCACCCGCAGGCAAACGGUCAGGCCGAAGUGUCAAACAGGGAAAUCAAGUCGGUCUUGGAGAAGAUGAUGCGUCCGGAUAGGAAGGAUUGGAGUUUAAAACUAGAAGACGCACUAUGGGCGUAUAGAACCGCGUAUAAGACGCCAAUUGAGAUGUCUCCGUAUAAACUUGUCUUCGGUAAGACUUGCCAUCUUCCCGUAGAAUUCGAACACAAGGUGUUUUGGGCAGUGAAGCAGUGUAACAUGGGAUUAGAUGAAGCAGGGGUCCAAAGGAAAUUGCAACUACAAGAGUUAGAGGAGAUAAGAAAUGAAGCGUAUGAGAAUGCCACGAUCUAUAAGGAAAAGAGUAAAACCUUUCAUGAUCAACGAGUUUCCAGAAAAUCUUUUGUAGUGGGGACAAAAGUCCUCUUGUAUCACUCGAGACUUAAACUUUUUCCCGAUAAGUUGCGUUCUCGUUGGAUUGGUCCAUUUGUCGUUUCUAAUGUGUUUCAUUAUGGUGCAGUGGAGAUCCAAAGUUUAAAAACGGAGAAAAAGUUCGUGGUGAAUGGCCAUCGUUUUAAACCUUAUUACGAGGGGUUCUCUAUUGAAGAAGUAGAAGUUGAACACCUCCAACAUCCACUUUAUAAUGCUUGAGCGUUUUGGCCAUGUCUAGCCAAAGACAGUAAAGAAAGACGCUACUUGGGAAGCAACCCAAGACUAUUUGUUUCAGUUUUCAUGCAUUUUUGAAGUUUUAGUUAAGUGUUAGUGUCAAUUAAUAGUUUGAUGUUUGGUUGCAGGAAAUUAGUAGUUAAGCGUGCUCACGCCAGGUGGUCACGCCUGAGGGGAAGGAAUUUUCGUUCAGGUUCUACGGACUCCAUAGCAGUUAGACGUGCCACGCCAAGUGGUCACGCCUGAUGGAAGGAAUUUUCGUUCAGGUUCUGCGGACUUCAUAGCAGUUAGACGUGCCCACGCCAGUUGGUCACGCCUGAUGGAAGGAAUUUUCAUUCAGGUUCUGCGGACUUCAUGGCAGUUGAGCGUGCCCACGCUAGGUGCUCACGCUAAAAAAAAAAAAAAAAAAAAAGGGCCAAAAGACGAAAUUGCCCUUAUUGAAAAAGAAGAAAAAAAAACCGUAGCCCUACUUCUUCUUUUCUUCCUUUUUCUUUCUUUCUUCUUCUUCUUCUUUCUUGUCUUUUUGUCCGCCGCCGCACCUCCCUUUCUCCACACGCCGCACGAUCACCGCACCGCACCUAGCCGCGCGCGACCCAGCUGCGCCGCACGACAGCACCACCAGCAGCUUCUCAGCGCGGACCACCAGCCGCAGUUCCAGCGCCUCAGCUCCACCGUGUGCGGUUCCGACGCCUCCUUCACCAGCCAAGCCCGCCUUGCUCCAGCAGCAGCCACGACCAGCAGCAACGCCGCCGCACUCGCCGCCACCUAGCCGCGCGCAGCAGGAGCCCACUGUGCGCGCAGCUUCACCAGCCACCAGCUGCCUUCGCACGGCCAGCUCGCGCGUGCAACCACCCACCGCACGCAUGGAUCAAGCCAGCUGUGCACGGUGCGCAGUCAACCGCCAAGCGCCUCGCCCAGCUCUUUUCUCUGCCCAUCGCGACUCCAGAUCGAGCAAGGCAAGGUCAGUCUGCACGCACCUGCUCGCCUACCCAGGCGUGCGCCAGACCAGCGCAGCUCUUCCCCCCUUUGCGCGCAUUCCCCUGCUCUCCAUUUCACUCACGGCCACUCACCCGCUCCGGGCGCAACCGGAGGCGCAGCAGCCAGCUAGCUCACGCGAGCCAGCCACGCGCAACAAGGGUCAACCGCGCGCCGCCUUCUUCCUCCUCUAGCGCCACCUGCGUUCUUUUUCUCUUCCACCCAUAGCAACUACCGGUUAUCCCCCAUGGUGAUUUCUUUCUUUAAUUUUUUGUCACUAAGUAGCUGAGGCCAGAUUACUAGCUUUUAUUAGCUGAUGACAGAUUUUAUUUUCGUAGCUGAGGCCAGAUUCUUUUUAGUUGCUAAUUGAGGACAGAUAUUUUGUGCUUGAUUUGGGUCCUGUGCCGUAUCUGUAGUUGAUUGUUGCUUAUUAGGUAUAUUUUGUGUUCAACCGGGGUUAUCAGGGGGAGGUUUUCACUUCGGUUGCCUGAUUAUUUCGUUUUUGAGGGGGUUUUGCUCUGUUUAUUUGAUUAAUUACUUUUUGGGUCAAAUUGGUAGUAUUUGGGAGAAUGUUGCUGUUCAUAGGCUUAAUUUAUUUUUGGGUGAGUUCAUUGCCUGCUUUUGCACGUGAUUGCGAGUGGGGAGUUGUGACUGAGAAUCAUUUACUUUGGGGCCACUUGUGACUUCUUUGGAACACCAUUUCCUUGCCUCCACCCUGCCCUCUGCAUUCAAAUGACUAAACCAAAAAAUAAGGGCAAGAGCAAACCUUCCACUUCCACCCCUCAACCUACGGUCCCCUUAGGGGGACCUGCCCCUCGACUGGGCCAGGAGGGCCCCGUACUC